UUUUUUCUUUCUUUAUUUAUUUCUUUUUUAUCUUUUAAGAGUGGGUUGGGGCCUUGGGGGCAUGAUUAACUUCAAAGUCUAUUUCUCUAAUUUUACAAAGCGUCACUAACUGAUCGGGUGAUAUAUGAAAAUGAGGGACUGUUUCUCUUUGGGAAUUAAUUUUCAAUUGAAUUUCUGCAACUACUCUGUCCGUUAAAAUUUUGCAGGUUGCAGAGAAUUCACACCCCCUGAAUACCCCUGAAUGCAAUGUUGCUCUCGCAUCUACUCGGUGUGGAUGGCUGGAUGCUGCAGAAGCAUCCUCUUAUCCACAUGUCUCCAGCUAACAGUUCUGUUCCAUCAGCAUGUUUCCUUGUUUGGUAAUUACAUGGAGAUAUUGUGCUGCUACAUGGUCAGGACUUCAUUGCCAUUGUUGAAGCAACAAUGUUCUUCAAAGAAAUAACUUACAAGGGAAUGAAAUGCAAUCAUGAGCUACUGCGCGGGGGAGACUACUAGUUGCUUUCCGAAUUGGCCGGAGAGACUACCACAACAUACAUCAAACAGAUGACAUCAAGAGGUGCAGAUGGACUAGCCUGCCUUUCUAAAUUCCCAUCUUGUAGGGCACCGGCAUCGAAAGCAGUCUGGUGCUUGUAUUGGAAUACAAAUGGAGAAUAGUCAGAUUUGGAACUUAUAACUCUCAAUGUCUUUGCAAAGGUGGUAAUGUGAGUCACAUCAGAGGUGGUGGGGCUACAAUUUUUUUUGUGUAUAUAUGGGAUUGCUAUUACGAUGUAUAAGUUUGGCUUUGUUAUUUCUUUCUCCAUCAACCUGAACUUUGUUUACAUGUGUAAUUUCUUCCUAUACAUCCUGAACUUCGGUGCAAUUUGGCAUUGACAUUUGAGUUCUCUUUAUGAAAUAUUGAAGUAUUAGUUCUAUCAUCAUCUCAGUUUAUCUACUUAUUUGAGUAUAUUCCACACUUCUGGUGGUGUUUUAGUUGCACAUGUAUUCUGUACAUGGUAAAAAAUGGGUAAUUUAAUUAUAUCUUACUAUGUAGUUUAGCUUACCAAAAUAUCAUGGAAACAAUGCAAUUCACACUUAAAUGCAAAAUGAUCCAAACAUAUAAGGGAAAAAACACAAAAAUCAUAGGACUUUUUAAAAAAUAAAAACAUCUGGCAAUAGACAAAGCAAACAUUUAGGCCCCACCAGUACAAUUCACAUGCACACAGUGGUCGUACAUGGGUCCAACAAAUCAGUCGGAUGUGAAGCAAUUUCCAGUUUAUAGACAAAAUGUGUUGAUGGUGCCAUGGAUGUGUUUGUGUCGUGUGUACAGUGUAUGUGUGUUUAAAAGUGUGGUUCAAACUCUUAGAGCGUCGUGUCGUAUAAAGUCCUAGCUUUAAGUCAACUUUUAUUUAAUAUAAGUUUAUGUCUAAACUUUAUAAUUAUGUAUCUAUAAGAUUGUAAUACGUUAUUAUUAACGCUUGCAUAUAUGUGGACAAUAUAGAGUUGUCUCGUAUUGUGGUAGACAAGAGUCAGUUAUGCACUCCAUCGUCUCGUCCCUCCCCUGACGUGAACAUGGUCAUGGGUGCGUGAGUCGCCACCACUACGUGCUCCUUCGUAUGGUAUCCUUGAGCAACUACUGUCCUUGUACUUUGGGCUAUGCACCCUCUGACGACUUUGUUCUGCCAUCAUUGAUAGUCCAUGUUUGUACUCCGUAGUACGUACACACUCAAUCCUUUUACCACUUCUCAACUUUUAUUUUGCAGCACUUGGAAGCUGGAACUCCGUAGCCGGUGUAGUUAAAGGAUGAAGUAAAAUGAAGAAGAGGCAGAGAGAUAAUCUACGACUAAUAUAGACGUGUAGUUCAGAAAAUUUUGUUCCUUGUAAUGAACUUACAUAAAAGCACUAUUUACCGCUGUAAUGGCAUCUGUGUAAAACUACCUUCUUCUACGGAGCUAGGAGUAAUAAUUAAUUAGCUUGGCUGUGAUGAUAAAAUUGUAAAUUACGUACUCACUCCAUCCUAAAUUGUUUUUCUAAAUACAUAACUUUUGCUAUGUAUCUAAACAUAAUAUAUAUUUAGGUGCAUGUAAAAGACUACGUGGCGGUGUGAAAUCUGACCGACAAGUAAAUAUUCUUUGUUUUGCCGUGCGUUAGAUCGGAUAUGGCCUAACACACAAUGACACAGGAUGUAUACUGGUUCGGGCAACGUGCCCUACGUCUAGUCGGGUCAGUCCAACGACUUUAUUCCUGAGCUCAGGUGCUCAAAGUUUGCAGUUGCAGUGGGGGUACAAACGAGAGGAGGAUGAGAGGGGGUGCCUGAGUCCUGACCUUAUUCUCAUCUCAGUGGAAGAGAGUGGCAGGAGCUCAGACGUGCGCUAAGUGUGUGAGAGUGUGAAAGCGUAAGAGUGUAAGAAUGUAAGAGUGCAAGGGAACGGCCUUACAGGUCGGAAAGGAUAAAAGAGUGAGUGUACGGGCGCUGCCUAGUCUUGUCGAAGCCCAUGUCGUCUGGUGCGGUAUAGCCUCCGUCCUCGGUCCCUGUUCUUCUCGUCAGGCCACUCUGUCAUAGCGAGUAGGUUUACGGCGGUACUGUACAGGCAUACGCAGGGCGUGGCACGAUACGGUUCUGCGUAGCUGACUCGGGUGCUUCCUCGUUAUCCGUCCCACCUGCUCCCUGGGUCCACACUGAGCGGGCGUCCCCGAUCGGUUGUCCUAGUUGGCCCCGACCGAGUUGGUCGAGGGGAGCGGUAUGGGUGGUACGGCGUAUCCCCAGCCAGGAGAACUCGGUCGGGAGUACCCGGUCGGGAGAGCUUAGUCGGGAGAACUCAUUCUGGGUCGGACUGUGGUCCCACCCCUGAUUGGCUCUUUCCGACCAGGCUUCCUAGUCGGAGGAGUCAGCUGGUGGCCGGAUCAUGAUCUCGACCUGGCUACGUGUAGCCGGCUGGCCCAGAUGUGUAUUGUUGCUAUGCCCUUUAUUGGGCCAAGUAUUGCGGGAAGGCAGUCCUGUUGGGGACCCUGGGUUUACGGACCCGUCAGGAGCCCCCGAGCCCCUUGGGGGCUUUGUUGAAGCCGUGAAGGGGCUUUCGGUCGGCAGGUUGCCAUUCCGUCAGGGGGAACACAUAGUGGUGUUUCUUGUUUUUGUCUUGUUCGUGAAGCGGACGAGCCGCAUUACGGGGUCUGGCCCCAUUUCCAAGACGAUAAGGAUGAACUUCCAAGGGGGUUCAUACUGUUACCUCAUGACCCAGUACCUUCGCCUCGAUUUCUGAUGCCUUUUACCACGCAGUAGUCGAAUACGUAGGGUAGCCGAGUAGGUUCACGCGUUCUAGCCCCCGAGUAGAUAUGGGUACCCAGCCCUCGAGAGGACGAGUGGCAGAGGCCGCAAGGGCACGUCAAAUAGAUCCUGACACCUAGCUCCCGAGGGAAGGAAUAGCAUGGGCCGCGGGUGCACGCCGAGUUGCGGAGGAUGCUCGGCUCCCGAGAAGGAGACUUGUUUGUAGUCCGUCUUCUGUCGGGUUUGAGCGAGCGGACCUAGUGGGUCUAGCCCCCGAGCCUGCGACUAACUAAGGAGUUGGUCGGAGGCCAAGCACUUUGGUACCCCUUUGACCAGAAGUGAGUCAAGUGGACACUAGCGCCCUUCUCCCGAGGAGGGGAUCUGUUGCUAGUCCGGCCUCCACCGGGUGCGCUCAAGCGCACCCGGUGGGUGUAGCCCCCGAGCCUGCGGCCGACUGGAGAGUCGAUCGGAAGCUGAGCACUUGGUACUCUUUUUUGAGGUCAUGGACUUUGGUGUCCCUGUCAGUCGGGAUGAGGUGGUCCUUAGUGCGAAUUGGGGCGCUUACUCUUGUGCAUUCCGAUCGUGACCUAUGUCGUCGGUCAUGUUCCCGAGUCAGGAACUGACGGCCCAAGCCCCUAAGGCCCGUCGGGCUCGGUCUGCAUCGGUCGAGUUUUCAUGCAUCGGUCGACCGGAGGGGCUGAGCUAACGCUGCUUGCCUCGAUAGCUCGAGUGACGUGCUCGGUGAGCUCGCUAAUGGGCAUGUCCGAGUGGAAUCCAGGUCUUUUGUUCGUAACGGGGUUGGCAUAGCCCUCAUGUGGCAUUCCACUGCUCCUUAACCCUCCUCCCGGUAGAUGCCCGAGCUGUUCCGGAGACCGACUCAGGUGGCCCGCUAGCCUCCCCUCGAUGGAGAUUCUAUGGGCAUGGAUCGAGGUCAGAAUCGAAUGAGAAGGUUGAGAUGAUCCCGUCCACUUCUGAGCGGGUCAGGCGAAGGCCGCUGGGGCUCCAUCCGCAUUUUCCCCCUAGCUCUGUGUGGCGGAACACCUCGGAUUAACUCAACUAAAGCACGGUUAAGUCGCUUAACACGUGAUCCACAUGCCUUAAUCAAGUUAACUCGUUGUGCCAUCGGAUUUCAUCUGAUUUAACCACUUAACAGGAUCGAGUUAGCAUAACCCACCGAAGGUGAGUGGUUCCAGAGAAUACAACAGAUCCACCAUUGGUUUAAUAGUGUAUUACAUACUAGUCGAAAUCAGAGUUUUACAGAGGUUAAAAGAAAAACACAACCACGAGAAGGAAGGCAUGCGCAAGUUUCGGAAGAUGGGUUCAUGCUCCGGGGCUUGCCUUCAAGCGGAGGGGAGGGAAACUGGUCUUCAGCUCGGGUUGCUUCGGCUUCUGGUAUUGGCAGCUCUGCUACAACUCUGUCUUCAGGCGUCGGGUGUAGCUCGUAGAGGCCGUCAGCGAGAAGCAACUCUACACGGAUGCAAAAUGCAGGAGUUAGCGUAUAGACGGUUAUUUCAACAACACUUGCAAGUUUAAGCUCAGACACUUGUAGCAAAGCUAUAGAAAAAGUGGGGGAAGUUCAACUUUAGUUGGUGGAGAACAGGAUAGAAGGGUCGGAUGGGGAUAACUGAUGAUCUGACCCUUUAACUUAAGGAAUAACUAUGCCGGGAUCCUCAGACUUAACACAGAGACGUCCCCAAUAAUUUGCACAGAUACCCUUAGGUCAAGGAAAAAGAUACAGCCGAGCCCUCGGACGAGGCGGAUAAGGGUUGGCGAACAGACAGGGUCGGGCGAGACGGAAAAAGGGGUCAGGCGAACCGGAAAGGGGUCGGCAGCUUACCUUAGGUCUAUAGGUGAAGCUUUGGGGUCGGGAAGGAACAUGCUUGGCGGAAAGACUUAAGCACUAAGGCUUGGGCGGCGGCGAGGUUUGACGGUGCUCUGGCGGCGGCGGAUCUUCUUGUGAGUGACAAGAGAGCUCUAGCACAGCGCGGAGGAGCAGACAGCUGGGUGGAUUGGGGAGAAGUGGGUCUGAGCGGAGAAGGGAACUUUUCAAGAGCUCAGCGGGAGUGCUCAAGUGCUCUCAGGGUAUGGCGGCGAAACAACGAUGGCGAAGGAACUCCGGUGGGACUCUGGCAUUCCCUUUUUAUAGUGGCGCGGAAGAGAGAGGUUUCGAGCAGCACGGAGACCGGGAAGAAAAGGAUGGAGUACGCUGCCAUGGCGGCGAUUGAGCGGCGAUGGGAGGCGGGAUAGGACCUUGGAGAUAGAGUCUUCGGCCAUUGGGCUCUGGAGACAAGGCGGCGCAGGCGCGGUUUUGCUAGGAUUUAGAUUUGGUGGAGGCGCGCGUGGUCUGGUCGCGUCGAGCGGUGGAUUUGACUGGCGUGAUAGGGAGAAAGGCGCUGCCAGCGAGGUUGCAGUAGGCGAAGUGACAGGGCGAGCGGCGGCGCGGGCGAGCGCAAAACAGCGGCAUUGCCAGGGCACAUCACUGGCGAGGUGAGAAAAGGAGCUGUCGCUGCCGGAGUCGUAGUUGGCGAGGGAGGUAUCGUCGUGGAGUGAGCUCGUGGGCGGUGCCACUGUGGAGAGGCGGCGGAAAAACCGGAAGGCAUCGGGUCUUGCAGCCGGGGAUCCGGCGAGAUGAUGGGCGCGGGUCGCGAGGCGGUCUGACGCAGCAGCGGCAAGAUUCUGCCACGGCGGCGACGGGGCACCUUGGCGCGGCUGGCGAGGGCGCGAGCGAGACGGGGCAACGUAGAAAGGGUUGCAGGGGGCUUCCGCUGCGAUUGGGGAGGAGGGCGUGUUAAUCCAUCCUGUUGCGGCUGGCGACUGGGCGAAGCGGCGGGCGUCGGAGGGAUCAAGCCACGCGGUGGGGGAGCUCUGAAGCGGGCACAUGCUGCUCGGGCGCGUCUGCCUCGGGAGGUCCGGGAAAGAUUUUGAGCCCACCAGUCAGUCUCGGUUUCCCUACAGCUCCAAGAUUGAAGGAACAGUGCCUUUGGGGACUCAGAAGGAACCGACGGUUUUGGUUGGGUUCUUGGGGGUCGGGACUGAGAACCGGAUUUGGAGCGCUUUGCUCAAGAGAGUUGAGACAGCGGGAUUUGGGACUUUCGGUUGAAGAUUAACUCGGCUGAAUUAAUCAAGGUCGUUACACUCUGUUUAACGCGAGGCAGCCUCGAGCCCUUCGCGGGCCGACCUUCGAACCCCGAUCGGUCGCAGCUCAUAUUGAAUGAACCGCUAUUCCUUCUUGACGCGACGCAAAGCAAUUAAGAUGCAAUGGUUGCACGUAUGAGAUGAAUGUAUGAUGCAUGAAUGGAUGAAUGAAUGCGUGUUCGUUCACAGAGAAAGUAAGUGGGGGGCUAGUAAAGUUACCUCGGUCAGACAUUCAGGCAUCACCCCAUUUGUGGUUUUUGCACCAGAGGGGUUAAGUUGCCAUUGCUUAUCUCGACAGUUCGAGCGACAGGCUCGAGGUACCCUUAACGGGUACGCCCGAGUGGAAUCCGUAUCCGUCGUUCGUGACGGGGUCGGCAUGUCCUGCAUAUUAGUUUUCCAUUUGUUUUUGCUUGUCUCCCAUCAAAUGCCCGAACCGUCUGACUGACCCAAGUGGCCUGCUAGCCUCGGUUCGACGGAGACUCUGACGGUGGGUCCCUUUGCUUUGUUCGACCGACCCGAGUGGCAUGCUGUCCUCGGUUUGAUGGAGGCUCUGAUGGUGGGUCCCUUCGUUCCCUUGCCUCAAAAGGCGAAAGGGCGCUUGCGUGCGGUUGUGCCCUGUUUUUCACGAUUUCGCUGCAAUAGCAGGUGAGCUCCUCCCGGGCCAUGCCCCAUCGCAUAGGGUCGCAUCCCGUCAGUUACUUCAUGUCUGCCAGGGCUCCGCGCCCCCUUCCCCAUUAAAUAGGGGGAGAGGCGGAGGUUUUUUAGCCCGUCCUUUCAUCUUCCCCGAUCGCUGCUGCUUUCUCUUCCGCCCUUCCGCCAAAACUUCCUUGUGCACUGUGGUGAGUUUCGAGAGAGAGGAGGGUCAAGGGAGAGAGUGAAAGAAGCCUUACAGAUCCAUUCGUCACCUCCCGUUGUGCGAUGUCAAACUGGAAGUCGUCCACCGUGAAGGAGGAUUUGCUGGAGGACUUCACGAGGAGGGGGUUGCUGCCGCCAAAGGCGGUUACGGGUUGGAGAGUGCCGGAGGCGGGGACCGUUGUCCCACAACCCGAGCCUGACAAGGUCAUCUCCUUCCUCGCUUUCCAUGAGCGUGGGCUUGGAUACCCCACGCAUUGGUUUCUGCGCGGGCUCCUUCACCGCUGAGGGUUGGAGUUGCAGCACCUCAACCCCAACGGGGUGCUGCAUAUUGCCGGUUUCGUCACCGUCUGCAAGGCAUUCCUCGGGAUGGAGCCGCACGUGGAUAGCCGUACGCGCGAGUUGGGAGGGUGCCACCAAUUAUGAUGCAGUGGUGCAAGCUGGGAUGGACCCAAGCGUCGACCCGACUGCGACUGGGGAGCCCUCGUCCUUGUCAGUUGCGCCGCCAACCAACCCGGCCGAGGGGGAGCAAUAGAAUAGGGGUAGUUAAUUUCUUUGUGUAUGAAAGAAGUCUGCGGGGGACUGUGAGCCUCCGAGUGAACAAUUUUAAGUUCGUUUGUGAUCGUGAUGGGGAGCUUGUCCCGCCCGUUCUUGUUUUUGCCCUUAAGCAAUUUCUACUUUUCACCCUUUCCCUUUCAGACCUGCCCAUUGACUGUAGGCUGCAACCUUAAGAACUCGGGCGUGGUCCACGAGGCUCAGCUGCUCAUAACUGUAGCCAUGGCGGGGUCCGAUCAGUCUGCAAGCUAGAGCAUAAGUUGCUUUUAGGGCGAAUUAGAGGACGGGGUGCUCUUUCCUUCGGGCACGCCCUUUUGUUCGGGCGAGGCGCGUGAUUACGCAAAAAGUAAAGAGGAGGUGGUGCCGCACCCCGGUGGAGCCUCCGAGCGACCAGGCCGAGAGUGCUCGGGUUGGGGUGCUGUAGGAGCAAGUGUUGAAUGGAAAAGGACUAGUAAUAGACCGAGUUAAGGAAAGAAAUGACAUAACUGCUCAAUGUUCCGAGUAUUGGUGAGGAUGUUGCCGUCGCCGUCCUUCAGUCGGUAGGCGCCUGGUCGGAUCACCUCGACCACCGUGUACUAUCCUUCCGAUGGCGGAGAAAGCUUGUGCUUAUCCUUGGUUUUUUGGGUCCUCCAGAGCAUGAGGUCGCUGAUCUUGAGGAUGGGCCCUCGUCCCGGUCUUUGCGCUUGUCCUUGCCCUUGUCCCUACUGCCGUUGAAGAUCGCCCCGACCACCUCCUCGCUGGAGGCAUGAUUCGUAGCGAUGUCGAGCAGCUCGUGGGUGGUUGGGGGCUUGACGCGGCCGAGCUUGUGGACCAGGGACUUGCAUGUUGUCCUCGAGAGGAAUGCGCUGACGACGUCUGCAUCGAUGACGUUAGGGAGGGAGUCGCAUUGCUUUGAGAACCUGCGGAUGUAAUCCCGUAGGGACUCGUUAGGUUCCUGCUUGCAACUCUUAAGGUCCCAGGGGUUCCCAGGGCGGACGUAUGUCCCCUAGAAGUUUCCUACAAAGACCUUCUUCAGUUUCGCCCAGUCGCGGAUGUUGUUGGACGGAACGAACUCGAGCCACGCUCGAACGAACUCCCCUACGCAGAUGGGGAGGUACUGUAUAAUGAAAUAGUCAUCAUCGGCUCCUCUGGCUCGGUAGGCAAGCCGGAAGUCUUCAAGCCACACUUCGGGUUUAGUCUCCCCAAUGUACUUGGUGAUGUUGGUGGGCGGUCGGAAGCGCUAUGGGAAAGGCGCUUUUUGGAUACGGCAACCAAAGGCCCACGGUCCUGGUCUGUCUGGGCUAGGGCUCCGGUCACCGUUCCGGUUGCUCGAUCGGCCGCCUCGCCUAGGGUGCACUUCUUCGCGCUUCUCGUCGGACCGGCCAUGGGCCACGUCGGCUGCUCUUGCCGCCAUCUGUUCAAUGUCAGCGUCGUGCCGUGCCAGGCGUCGCGCGUGGAUGACGCUACGCGCGUCACAGUUCAGCCCGAUCUGCUCGCGCAUGAGCUGACGCCGCGGCGCUUGUUCAAUGUCGGCGUCGUGCCGUGCCAGGCGUCACACGUGGAUGACGCUACGCGCGUCACAGUUCAGCCCGAUCUGCUCGCGCAUGAGCUGACGCCGCGACGCUGGUGCCGGGUCGGGCUGUGAAGCUGCUGCAGGGCUCUUCCCUACCCGACGUGCCUGCAAGGGCGAGUGGAUGGAGUGGUUCGGCUAGUGCAGCCCCAACGCCCCAGUUGGGCAAGAGGUUGCGUGUCACGACGCGGAGAUCUCCGCCUGCUAUACGGCGGCGGUUUCCACCAGUGCCCAAAGGUUCCGGUGGAUUGCCUGCUCCUGGGGGUCAGCUGGCUCGGGGAGGCUAUGCAGAAGUAUCACUGCGGUGGCGAUGUUCUAUCCGACCUGAGCGAACUGCGGGAGGUCGUCCACUCCUGCCAGGAUGUUGCGUUGGACUUGGCGGGCGCGGCCUCAAGCGACACUUGCUAGGUUGCGCACGUACGGCAUAGAGUGAUGCGCUGGGUGCAUUGGUCCGGCUGCCGCUAUCGCAGCUCGUUGCCGUGCGCCUGCGCUUGCGUUAGGGCCUCCGCACGGUUUUUCGAUGGGGUGUGAGUCUCAACAAACUCCACCAUCUCCGAAAGCUGUUCCGGGGUGUCCGCUAUGGCACACUCCCGGGACAGAGGAUGGUCAAGUGCCAUCAUGUCGUCAAUGCUGGAGCCGUCACUCUCGAGCUCCUCAUCGCAGAGGUCGUGGAAGGAGGCAGGAGCAUAGUCCGGUGUUCCCACGAACUCGCACAGGUGGAUAGAUGACGUCAUGACCCUCUAGAGCCCCCAUAUGUAUACGUCCACGGGGGACGCAAGACCGAAGGGGAGCCAACCACAUGGCCAACAUGGUAGGGACAACGGAGCUCCUCCGGAGAGCUGGUUGAAAGUGUUAGCCAGUGAAUACAUGAUAGUAUCCACGUCAUUCAUCAUGUGGUUCGUGCCCAGCAUGGGCUUGAUGCGGAGCGCAAGUGCCUCCAUGUCGAGGUCGUCGAGCGGCUCGUGGACGACGAUGUGAGCCACCUUUUCCGGGGAUGCCAGGGAAGUCGUCUCCUCGCGGAGGCGGAGUACACCGAGUUGAUCGGUGAUGAAGUCCAGACUUCCAAAGCGAAAGGCCUAGGACGGCACGAAGACGGGUGGAACCCACGUCCCACCGAGGGUGGGUGCAGGAAACUCUAGCGAGCCGAAGCGAAUCGUAUCGCUCCAGCCCUCCAUGCCGAAGAUGGCGGUGAGGUGGGCCAUCCGAUGACCUGCAAAACGCGAACGCAACGCCGCCUUCCCCACGGACGGCGCCAACUAUCAGUGCGAAAUUUGGCUGACAAGUAAAUAUUUAUAGUUUUGCCGUGCGUUAGAUCGGAUGUGGCCUAUCACACAAUGGCACAGGAUGUAAACUGAUUCGGGCAACGCGCCCUACGUCCAGUCGGGUUCAGUUGGUCGAUUUUAUUCCUGAGCCCAGGUGCUUAAAGUUUGCAGUGGAGGUAUAAACAAGAGGAUGAGAGUGGGUGCUUGAGUCCUGACCUUGUUCUCGUCUCAGUGGAAAAGAGUGGCAGGAGCUCCGACGUGCGCUAAGUGUGUGAGAGUGUGAAAACGUAAGAGUGUAAGAACGUAAGAGUGCAUAAGUCGUAGAGGCGGAGGUUCUGUCUCCUUUUAUAGUACAAGGGAACGGCCUUAUAGAUCGGAAAGGAUAAGAGAGUGAGUGUACAGGCGCUGCCUAAUCUUGUCAAAGCCCACGUCGUCUGGUGCGGUAUGACCUCCGUCCUCGGUUCCUGUUUCCUUGUCAGGCCACUCCGUCGUAGCGAGUAGGUUUAUGACGGUACUGUACAUACAUGAGCAGGGCGUGGCACUGUACGGUUCUACGUAAGGUCGGCUGACCCGGGUGCUUCCUCGUUAUCUGUCCCACCUGCUCCUUGGGCCCACACUGAGCGGGCGUUCCCGGUCGGUUGUCCCAGUCGGCCCCGAAUGAGUCGGUUGGGGGGAGCAGUAUGGGUGGUACAACGUAUCCCCAGCCGGGAGGACUCGGUCGGGAGUACCCAGUCGGGAGAGCUCGGUCGGGGUCGGACUGUGAUCCAACUCCUGAUUGGCUCUUUCCGACCAAGUUUCUGUUCGGAGGAGUCGGCUCGGCCCAGCUACGUAUAGCUGGGCUGACGUGUAUUGUUGCUGUGUACUUUGUUAGGCCAAGUGUCGUGGGUAGGUAGUUCCGUUGGGGAUUCCGGAUCUAUGGACCCGUCACUAUGUAUAAAAAAAUAAAAAAAUAAAAAAGAAUAGUAAUUUAGGAUGGAGGGAGCAGCAUUUUAGCGUGGAUUGUGGAACUGUUGCACAAGGAAACGUGGCCGGUACUCCAACCUGCCAGAAAAACUGAAAUGCAAUGAGAUUUACCGGUAAUAAGUACAAAAUCAAGUAAGGUGGCGACACAGAAUCUUCAUAAUAGUUUUAAGUACACCAAGUUUCGUUUCCUAAUCUGUAUUCUUCCUUCCCUUUUGGUUGUCCCUUUCCUCUGUGCUUUACUCUCCUCCUGUCCCCCUCCCUCCUGUGCGGCGGUGCCCAUCGCAAUAAAAAUAAAAAUCAAUAAGAGAGAGAGAGAGGAGAGAGCAACACCGGCUGCUUAAUCUCUUCUUCUCCCCGGCUUAUCUCCAAGGGCGCAUCUCCAGAAGCGGGAGGGAGGAGCGGAGCGGCGAAUUCUUGUUUUUGCGCAGGAUGUCUUCUCCAAGCAAGCGCCGGGAGAUGGACCUCAUGAAGCUGUGAGGAUCCUGGGGGUGUUUCAGUGAUUUUCCUUUGGGAUUUCGAUGGGGAUUUCCUUGAUCUGUGUUUCUGUUGCCUGUUGAUGGCUGCAGGAUGAUGAGCGACUACAAGGUGGAGAUGGUGAACGAUGGGAUGCAGGAGUUCUUUGUUGAAUUCCGUGGGCCUAACGAAAGUACGGAUUUUGGCGCAGGAGGCCGAUUUGAUUCCAUCUCUUUCGUCGAUGAUUGUGUAGCUUCUGAUUUCUAAUCUAGAUAAAUUGAAGAGCGAGUUUUCAGGAAGCUGAGUUUUUCUUGAUCAUUGUGGGCUUGUGGCCUUUAGCUUCCAUUGAUGUAGCUCUGAGGACAGCUAUAAUCAGAUCCCCAAUUUAACCUGUUGCUGAGCUGCUUUUGCUUUCUGUAUUGCCAUUAGUAUCUGAAUGAUGUACUUGAAGCGUCAGUCUUGUUCCGCAUUAGUAGUGAUUUAGGAUGAUCAGCAACACUAUCUGAAGGAUGCUUUGUUGAAUUUAAUAGGCAUUUAUCAAGGAGGCGUGUGGAGGAUUAGAGUAGAAUUGCCAGAUGCAUAUCCAUACAAAUCCCCAUCGAUUGGUUUCAUCAAUAAGAUAUAUCACCCAAAUGUGGAUGAAAUGUGAGUACCUUGGACUCCAUGAUCUGUUGAUUUGUCAAUUCAAACCACAAUAACAGUCUAGUUACUAACCACUUCUGGAUCAAUGUGAACUGUAGGUCUGGUUCAGUUUGUUUGGAUGUCAUCAACCAAACAUGGAGCCCAAUGUUUGGUAAUAAUCGAUCCUUCCAUUGCAUUUGCUUGUAUAGACAUCCAGUUAAUUUUUUAGUUUUUUUAAAAAAGACAUCCAGUUAAUUUUCUCUGUUCUGCACAACUGGAGCCCCAGUUGCUUUGUACUCUGUUGCAAGAGGGUCAGGUUUAAAUAUCUAUGUGCGAUGUUUUGCAGACCUUGUCAAUGUAUUUGAGGUCUUCCUUCCACAACUUCUACUAUAUCCGAAUCCUUCUGAUCCAUUGAAUGGAGAUGCAGCUGCAUUGAUGAUGCGUGAUCGGCCUGCUUAUGAACAAAAAGUGAAAGGUAAGAAGGUUACACAUUGUCUGUUUAUUAGUACCUUUAUUGCAACCUGCUUGGAGAUUACAUAAAAUAUUUAACAAUGGCACUAAGCUGAGAUGCAGUCGUACUGAAUUUUCGUUGCAGUUUGCACCAGUAGAAUGAGUCAAUCCAUCUUCUAUACAUGGCAGUCUUGUAAUUCUGACUAAUCAAUUUGAUCUUCCACGCUAUGUUUGUUUAGUGAACAACCCAUCUUAUGUGAUAAAUACAAGUUCAAGAAUACUUCCAGACAGGUUUUUAAGUUCUUACCAAAAGCCUUCCUAGAAUAUUGGUUAUUAUAGGCGCUCAUUGGGUUCACCAUAUAUAAGUAAAUACAACUGUUAGGUUCUAGUAAAUAUUCUUGACUAGAGCAGUUUUAUUGAGUAAGGCCUUGUUGGAAAUUGCUUAUAGGUUUUGAGCUCGGCAUGUGGUUUGAGUGGACUUCGAAUCUGUAAGCUGAUAAAAUUGUUUAGUUGCCAAUGUAAGAAAAUCCCUGUGUCAGGAUGGGAGUUGGCACAGGAUGGGCUGUUUCUUAUUGAUGCGGUCAUGGGGACAAUGCAAACAAACAGGGUUUAUUGGUUGCAAUGUGGAUGUCCUCCAUAUCCACAAGAAAUCCUGAAAAUAUUGUAGAAUAUGAAUAUAUAUCUUCAAUUGGAAUUCUCUGGUGGGGAAGUUCCAUGGACCUGCCAGCACGUACCACGUGUUCUGGUGUUAAGAGCUUAAUUAUCCCUGUCCUUUAGAGUUCCAUUUCAUUCACUGAAUUAACUUAUCAUGAUGCUAUGGAGCUGUUCCUCUACUAGAAUGUAGUUCCUUAGCCAUUUUGUUUUUUUAUUGAAUCCUAGUCUCUUCCUCAGUACUCAAGAGAUGAGUUUUCAUUGACCAUGUUUCUGCAGAAUACUGCGAAAAAUACGCCAAACCAGAGGAUGCUGGGGUAGUCCCAGAAGACAAGUCUAGCGAUGAAGAGCUAAGUGAAGAAGAAGAUGACUCUGGUGAUGAGGAGAUCCUUGGGAAACCAGAUCCAUAGUCAAGUUGGAACCUAUAUCUCUGGUUGAUCAGCACACAAUGUUUAUUGCAGCAACUGCAAUGAAACAGUCUCUGAACCCUUCCCGUGCAGUCUGAAUGUCGUGUAAAUAAACUGCAGUGUCAUGUUCCCUAAUGUUGUUUCCAUCCUCAAAUUGACCAAUUCGAUGUCCAGCAGCACUAGUUUGCCCCCAAGUACCAUGAUGUGCAGAUUUCUGCAUUGGAAUUGGCCGAUUGUUUCAAUAUCUGCGCAAUUGUUCACAAGCAAAUACCCCAAUAAUUCAGAUGAUGUUGGGAUUGCUGGCGUACACAUUUUCAAUCUGUGCAGAGCUUCUUCACCCUCCUUGAGACAUUGACUGACAAUGAAAUCCUGAAUUGUUGGCUAGCCUGGUGGUAUAUGAAUAAAAAGUACUCCGUACAUCAUAAGUGGUGGUGUGGAUGCAAAUUCUCCGAAGAUUUUAAUUCUUUUGGAUUAGCAAUGCGAUUUAAGAACUACUUAUAAGGUUUUAUAAGCAAAAUCCUCAUGGCUUCCAUGCAACUCGGAGAUGGAAUCAAGCCACAUGGAGGAACACGCAACAGAUUUGACUUGAUCAAGCCGUUUGCGUCGUGCGCGAUAGUGAUUUGGUUUGCCACGCUUGUGCCGUUGGCCGCCCAAACCACACCAGUCCUCACAUGGCGAGAUUGGCGUGGCAAGGCGCACUCGCCGCCGCCUUCCUCCUCCUGUGCGCGGCCGCGGGGGUGGCGCUGGGGGCGAAGCGGGUGCCCAUCCCUGACGACCUGCGGGACGUGGUGGACGACGAGGAGGACGACGAAUGGCGCAACUGGGGCGCGAGCCAUUCGCGGGGGCCGAACCGCGGCGACGGCCCGCCGCCUGACCUGUCACGGAUGGAUCCGGCCGCCCUCCAGGCCGAGCUCCUCCGCGGCCAAACCGGGCCCUCGUUCGGCUUCGUCAAGCUCCGCCCCGGCACUCCUCGCUCACGGGUGCGGAUCCCUCGAUCGCCGCCACGGCCGCGCGCUCGUUGCCUCGUUUGACCAUGGCAUUAUUUUUUUUCCCAGGAGGAUGUGGUGGGGAUUGCAACGAGGUGGAGCAAUGUGCUGCGGACCGGAUCGGUAGAGGCCAAAUUCGUUGCUGUUGAUUUUGGGACGCUCAUGUUCACCAUGGAGAGAGGGCAUGACAUUCUAGAGGUUGGGGCUUGCUUCCUUUGGAUUGAUCUUCUUCUUUCUUUCUUUCUUUUUUCUGAACAAUGCUGGGCUUGACGAUAAAGUGGGGUAGUACCGUGGUCUUACGACCUAAAUAAUGCUACCCUUGAUCUGACCAGUUCACCUCAAGGAUUAGGCCUUGAGAAAAUGUGAUCAAUUUACUGGAACGCUCUCGUUCACGUUGAGGCUCCACUGGUUCAAAAGUGUAAUUAGUAGGGUAAGGUGAGGAUGGGCUAAUAUACUUCAACUCUACCCUUUUAAAUGGGAUUGUGAUGUAAACUGGAAGUGGACUGCAACUAGUUUUACCUGAAAUUUGUGCUAGCCAUGUUUCAAAAGUGGCUCCUUUUGGCUUUUGAUGAGACCAUAUUUGUACCAGUUCAUCCAAAAGUUUAAUUUCUAAGGAAACUUAAGUAGUAUGCAUUAUCAGCAUCUGCCACAGAUCAUUAGCUGAAUAAGUGUUUAUGCUUAUCUAUGGCCAUGGAGUAAAAAUUUUAUAUACGGAUACUAAAGGGAAUAGUAACAAGUCUACAAAUGUCUACUGAUCUCACGGUUCUAUUUAUAUUUGCAUCUAGAAUGGACCUAUUUUUUUUUAGAAUGUACCAUUUUUCCGCUACAAUCUUAUUGUGAUAACUCAAUGGUAGUGACUAAGCAUCACAAUUGUUAUACCAGAAUAAGUAACAGACGUGAUUAUCUUUAUACCAUUGGGAUCGAGGUGUUUUCCCAGAAUUGCAUCAGUUGCCAUUUUCAUAGCAUAGGAUGUGAAUUGAGGCCUCAGACUACCGGAAAACGUGAUUGUGCAAUAACCCAUUCAGUUAAGCAUGAUCUUUGCUGUUGGAUUUUCUGAUUCUGUUCUUUUCAUUUUAUUUGUUCCAGCUGAAAGAGUUUAUCUUGAGCCAAGCUGAGGCCUACGAGUUUAAGAUUGGUGAUCAGAUUUUCCGCAGACCUGGAGACCCACCCCUGGACCAAGUUCUUGAGAAGCUAAAGAAACAGAAGAGUCAUAAAUCAAAAGAUGAACUGUAGUAGAUUCAUUUGCUAAAUCGUACUGCAUGCCUUGUAACACAAGUUCCUUGGCCUAUUCGUUCAUACUUGUUUUACAAUUUCGCUUGAGUGGCCGUUUUACAUUUUACAAUCUUGGACGAUCACAAGUAGUCCUCUUUGGUAGAAGGGUUCUCUUCCUUUUUUUUCUUAUUUUUUUGUGGAGGGCUAGAACGGUUCUCUUCUUCUAAAUGCUCUGUGUCACUGCUCGAGUAUUGUAACCACCAUGCUUUUGCCAUCCAUUUUGAGUGAAAGAAUGCGGUCGUCCUUGAUGCUAGACGUUGCCCGUUGUUUUCUCUUGCUGUUUUGUCAGUUCAUUUGUUGCUGUCUGUGUCUGGCGUAGUAUUUGUAAACUUUUGUUGAAUGUGCUCAGCACACUGUGAGCGGAACUGAAGAACCAAUCAUUUAUGAGCAUCAGAAGCAACUGCCAAGAUCCUCAUCCAGAAACCAAUAGCGACACCGACACAAGUACGUGAUGCCUUUGGCUGUCUGGCGUAAUCAGCGACCAACAGCGACGUCACUGCCCAUCACUGAAGCCUAGUCGCGUAGAGACCGCAGGCCAACAGCGACGGCCGCCAUGCCACCAUUUGCCUGUCUGUCUGUCCAACGCGGUGUCUCUUGUGCAAGCCACUGCAGUGUUGAAGAACUCUGUCGCUAAACUUAGUAUCAUGUCUUGUUAAUCCUCUGGCAUACAGAAGUGCACGACACCAAGACCCUGAUGGAAGUCGUCGUCGAGCUUCGACUUCCGCGAGCAGUACACCAGCGCGCUCUGCACCGAAUCCUACAACAACUUCUAGGCGGUAGGCGCGCGUCCUGGACAUCACCCUUGCGCAAGGCGCCGGCCGGCCUGGUGCCGCGUCCGGGCGGCGGCACGGCGUCCAAGCGCCUCCCCUCCUACCGCCUCUUGGCGUAGGUGGACUAGCCGCGCGCCUGCCCGUUCAACUUCAGGACGAGGCCGUCGGAGCCGCCGCUGUAAGAAUCCGCGCCGCCGCCGUCGAACGCGCCGCUCUCCGGGCCGCGCAGCAGCGACCCGCGGAGCGGCAGAUGCUGGCUCCGGCUGCCGUCGAUGGUGGCUGUCUCGGAGACGGGGCGCGCGGCGUCGCACCGCGGGAGGAGGAGGUGCAGGACGGCGAGCAAGGAGAUCGCCAACGUCAGAAGCUCUUCUUGCUCAUGAUGACUCCCAUGGUUGUGGACUGCUUGGACCUUGCACUGGUUAGCACCUUUGCCGGGUACGGCGCCGGCAGCAAGUCAGGUAGGUCCCUCCGCUAGUCCGUGAUCAGAUCCCAGACGGUGAGGGCGCAGCCCCCGGAGACGUCCCUCUUGGGGUCCCAGCGCAGGAGAACGCGACAGCGGCGGCGGGCAUAUAGCGCGCGCCAGCCGCGGAGGCCGGCGGCGGGCAUCUAGCACGUGCCCGGCGAGGCGUUGCAGAGGAAGGCCAGCGUGGGUGGCGCGCGGUGGCGCUCGCGGAAGCCGGGGCCCGCGACGAGCGCGGGUCCGCGGGCAGGAAGCGCGGCACCUCGACAAGCUCGAGCUCCGAGAUCGACGUGACCGUGGCGAACCGCUUUGACUUGGUCAUGGGAUCCUAGCCGUGCGAAUGGGAUUCGACGGUCCAAGUUGCCUAAGGCCCGGACGGUAAAUGAGAUACCGUCCGGGGUGGGCGGUAAAUGAAAUACCGUCCACCCCGGGCGUCCAGCGCGCGCUCCCCGCUCGCCGCCGCCGUCGCGCCGCCCCGGCUUCGUCGGAGAUCACGGCUUCGCGUAGAUGCGCCGCGCUCCCACCGGAGGUCUUCGUCUCCGUGUCCGAUGCCACAACGCCACCCGUUCCUGAGCGCCUCCUUCCGGCGCGGCGCCUUCGCACCUAUACUCGCCGCGCAAUGCCCGCGCACGCGCUGCGAUGAACCGUGGCGCGCGCGUGUCGCCGCCGCCUCGUCGUCGCCGUGGCCCGCCGUCCUGUUCUCCUCCGAGAUAACCGCCGCCGCUUUAAGGUAAUCGCAGACGGUGGCCGCAGCCUCCGCGGUGCCCCUGUCCUGCUGUCCACGACAGCGCUUGACCUCAGCUUGGGCACUCUUGCUUGAACUUGACUGACACGGUGGGAGCGCAUGUCUGUCUACAAUGGCAUAUCUGCACAAUACACGGAGAAUCGCGUCGCCCGUACACUGCAAAUGGCAAACUGAUGGUUUCUUCGUGCAGAUUAUCAAUCAGAUCACAAUCAGCAACACGCAUGGAUGGCGGACUGGCGGUGAACAGUCCGUUGCGUGCUGUCAAAAUUCCAAUCAGAAAUGGGGCCGGAAGAGAAGUUAAACGACGCAUCUAAUGUUCAGAAAACGCUCCAGCUAAUGUCGCCCGACUAAAUGAUCAUCUUCUUGGGACUAACGUAACGUUCCUGUAUACCUGAUUUCAAUCCGUGCAUGAUGUACAUUUGACCCGGAACCUUUCAGAUCUCUGAAGUCUUACUGCUCUAUACCCUUAUCAGUGUCUGCAUGUUACUCAUUCUUCUUUUCCUGUUCAAGGCUAAUGUUCAGGAACAGGUGCAGGCUAACGCAUCAAAACAUAGAGCAGCAUUACCCAUUAUUCUUUCCCUUCUAACUCUACGGUACAGGUGGCUGAUCAUAUCAGUAAAACAACUACUGUAAAGUGAGCUGAACUUUUGCUCACACAGAGAUUUACUCGCAAAGCAUUAGAGCACCAGCACUUUGCCUACACAUGUAUUCUGAAGCAUCAGAAAGAGCAAAGGUUGACAAACAAAACUUUGACUGUUCUGAAUGCUUAAAACUGCAACAAAGUGUAACAUGCUGUCUGCUGCAUCUCAUGACCUGAAAUAAAGAUGAUACGCACGCAGCAGUCGGGGUGAUCGCCGUCGCCCGCGCAGAGCAACGCGGCGGCGUUCUGGCGGUACGGGUACGGCGGCGCUGGCAGUAAGUCAGGUAGGUGAGGAAGAGGGCGCAGCAGGACGCGACCGUGGCGGAGGCUGGUCGGUUGCGCUCGCCAGGAGCGGAGGCCGGCCGGGACGGAGCCGGGGCGAGCGGAAAGUGGAGACGGGGACGAAGUGCGUGCCGGGCCAGGCGUCGCAGGGGAAGCUGAGGAUGGGCGGCGCGCGGUGGGGCUCGCGGAACGGGCGGCGGAAGCCGGUCGGGGCCCGCGACGAGAGUAUGGUCGGCGGACGGGAAGCGCGGCACCUCGACAUGCUCGAGCUUCUCUCCCGUCGUGCGGUCGUGGCGAUCCGCUUUGACUUAGCCUCGAGCUCCUGGCCUCGCGAAUGGGAUCCGACGGUCCAGAUGGCCUAAACCCCGGACGGUAAAUGAAAUACCGUCCACCCCGAGUGUCCGGCGCGCGCUCGCCGCCGCCGUCGCGCCCUGCUUCGUCGGAGAUCACGGCUUCGCGUCGAUGCGCCGCGCUCCCACCGGAGGUCGUCGUCUCCUUGUCCGAGGCUAUAACGCCACCAGUGCCUGAGCAAAUCCUUCCGGCGCGGCGCCUUAGCACAUAUACUCGCCGCGAAAUGCCCCACGCACGCGCGGCCCGCGUGUCGCCGCCGCCUCGUCGUCGCCGUGGUCCGCCGUCCUGUUCUCCUCCUAGGUAACCGGCGCCGCUUUGAGGGCCUUGCCGGCGGUGUCCGCGGCCUCUGACAUGACCCUGUCUGAAACAGCGCGUGACCUCAUCUUGGGCACUCUCUGCUGGAGCUUCACUGACACGGCCGGUGCGCGUGUCUGUCUGCAGUAGCAUCUCUGCACGAAACAUGUAGGAUCGCAUCGCCCCUACGCUGUAAACGUCAUCGUGAUGGUUUCUUUGUGCAGUGCAGGUUAUCAAUCAUAUUACAAUUGUCAGUUCAUCUGUUGCUGUCUGGCGUAGUAUUUGUAAUUUUUGUUGAUUGUGCUUUGCACACUGUGAGCCGAACUGAAGAACCAAUCAUCUUUGAGCGUCGCAGAAACAAACUACAAACAUCCUCAUCCAGAGACCAAUAGCGACGCAAGUACGUGAUGCCUUUGGCUGUCUGGCGUAAUCAGCGACCAACAGCGACGUCACUGCCCAUCACUGAAGCCUAGUCGCGUAAAGACCGCAGGCCAACAGCGACGGCCGCCAUGCCACCAUCUGCCUGUAUGUCUGUCUGUCCAACGCGGUGUCUCUUGUGCAAGCCACUGCACCCUGGCCACCCAUUUUGCCCCUCGGCUGGCUGGGCCGGCCACGAUCACGAGGAGGCUUGAGAUACCCGCAACCCGCCUAUAUCCGAACAAUCCCCAGCUCCACAUCCGCGUCGUCGUCACAACUCACAAGAGAACACUGUUCCUUAAGGCAGAAGGCGAAGUAUAGCGGGAUAGAUCCUCGGAGCCCACCCCUUUUGUGCGGCACCGCAGAAUUAAUCAGGGAUCAGAGAAAGAUACGGGCGCCCGAUUAGAAAUAUCUCAGGCUCUCAGCAGAACGUUCUCUGAGUGGCACGUAUCUAAUCCUCCUGCAUUCUGGACCACACGGCCCUGUGCCGUGACGCCGCCAUGCCGGUGGCGUUCGCAGCUGGCGAAACGCUCGGGCAGACGCAACGCAACCCGCGCGUCCGGAUUUCCCGGUGCAUCCACAGCCACCCUCAUGCACGUCGCGGUCGCGCCCAUGGCUCGCCACGCGGGCAGCCACGGGCAAGCAACGAACGGGGAGCGCGGGGCCGGGCCGGGGGUGGGUGCCCACUUGCCACGACCCGACGGGCGGAUGGCGUGGCUGCUGUGACAUUCCAGUACGUGCGCGUGUCGUCUGCUGGCCUCGCGUAGACGCGCGGCCACGGCGGCGGUUUUCUUUUCUCCCGUUGAGUGCUGGCCAACCUCUUGUGCUUCCUUCCAAGCUUCCGCCUAAUCGCAGAGGUCUAGAUAGCGGGUGGCGAGCUGGAGAUUGAACGGGGAGACUUGUCUUCGCGCCCAAGGCCGGUUUCCACGUCGAGAUCGAUCGACAGAUAUCUUGGACGGAGCCGGCCGCGCGCCCGGGCCUUAUAAGCUCUCUCUCCGCCCCCCUGGCUCUCCUCACUUUGACUGGAAAGAAACACGGGUCGGAUCGAUCGAGCUACAGGAAACUGAACGCUCGCACUUUGCCUUGCCGAGGAGAAGGAAGGAGCUUAUUGGAUCGAUCGAAUUCGUCGUCGGCCUCGAUCGAUCGGCAGCUUGCAUUGGUCGAUCGAUGGGCGUCGCGUUCGGGUGCUUCGGACUCGGAGGAGGGUGCGUGCCGCGCGACGGAGAUCACGGCCAGCAAGGUAUGCAUUGCAUCCGUGUAUGUACAUUACAUUGAUGCAUUUUAGUGUGAACUGAAUGAUCAUGUCGUUCCUACAUUGAUAUAGGAUAAUGCAUGCGCACCUGUCGAUUAAUCGUACAAUGUCUGAUCAUGCUAUCAUCACCGCGCGCACGUGCUUUGAAUUCGUGCGGUUGCGUCCGUGCGUGCAUGCGUGUAGCGACACGCCAAAAAAAGGACCAGCCGCAAAACAUCCGUAAACGAUGCAUGUUGUCGCUUCGCUUUGACACAUAGCAAAAUGCACAAUCUUGUUUACAUCAUCCAUCAUUUCUGCAUUAUUAAGAAACUUAAGAAAUUAUAAACCCACCCCGUAUAUAAAGACCCUGCGUGCACAUGCAUACCCAUUCACGAAACCUUGUGGACUACUGGAUCAUAGAAUGGGUGGUAAUAACAUGCUCAAGUGUUUCGGAGCUUGCAUCCAUCACCAUCAUCGCCAAGGUAGCUGCGCUGCGGACAUCCAUCCAUGAUGCGUGUUUCGUCUAACUAGCUUCUUUGCUUCAUUAAGGUCUCGUGACCCAUACACAUUUAGUGGAUGUCCAAGAACUCUGUCGCUAACCUUUAGUCUCAUGUCUUGUUGCUCUGGCAUGCACAGCAGUGCACGAUCCCAAGCCGCUGAUGACGCCGUCGUCGAGCUUCGACUUCCGCGAGGAGUACACCAGCGCGUUCCGCACCGAGUCCUACAACGACUUCUGGGCGCGCGUCCUGGACAUCACCCUCGCGCACGGCGCCGGGCUGGUGCCUCGCCCGGGCGCCACCGGCACGGCGUCCAAGCGCCUCCCCUCCUACCGCCUCUUCGCCGAGCACCUCCUCGAGCCUGACCAGCGCGCCGUCCGCGCGGCCCUCGCCUCGGCCCGCAAGGGCCGCCUCCACCCUGGCGUGCGCGACCUUCUCGCCGCCUACUACAACGAGACGGCCAGCGCCUCCUUCCUGUGCAGCCACCUCCUCAAGGACAUCGAGCAGAUCCGCCUCCGCUACCGCCCGCUCAAGAACACGCUCCGAAAGCUCGCCCGCGACGUCGGCGUGUCCAGCCUCGCCGACGUCUCCGCCGCCCUCGGCCAGCCGUUCACCGCGCUGGCCGUGUCGCAGGGCAAGCUCCGCCAGGUGCAGCUCAGCUCCGCCGACCUCCUCAAGAGCCUGGACUCCAGCAGGAAGAAGGCGCGCCUCCGGAUCAAGACCCUCGCCCGCCUCAGACAGGCGCUCUCGGUCUCGCUCAUCACGGUCGUCGCCGCCGUGGCCGUCGUCGGCGCCUUCAUCGGCGUGCAUAUCCUGGCCGCGUUCGCGGCCUUCCCGAUGAUCAUGUCGCCGGCGUGGCUGGGCCUCUUCUCCGGCCGGACGGUGCGGCGAGCUCUGGUGCAGCUGGAGGCUGCGGCCAAGGGCACAUACAUACUGAACAGGGACAUGGACACCAUAAGCCGGCUCGUGGCGCGGGUGCGCGACGAGGGGGAGCACAUGCUCGCGCUGCUGCAGCUGUGCGUGGAGCACCGCGCGCUGGCCGGCGAGAAGGGAAGGCUGGUGCAGGAGGUGUUGAAGCAGCUGUGCAAGAACGAGGAGAACUUUAGGCAGCAGCUGGACGAGCUGGAGGAGCACCUCUUCCUGUGCUUCAUGACCAUCAACAAGGCUAGGAGCAUGGUGAUGAACUUCAUGGCUGCCGCGGAGCAGAGUUCCGGCUGACCACGAGAAAGACAAAUUUGUGCGUGUAGAAUGUAGAACAGCGUGUACAUACAUGCAUACUAGUUUUUAUUUUUCAGUACAGAAAAAAAGAAAAAAAAGAUAGGCAAAGAAUUCUCAACACAGGCCUUUCCGCUUUUGUUUGAUUUUUUUCCUACCCAUAAACAGCAUAUUAAACAUUCGGAAUAAUAGCCUGAUCUAGUCUAGGGUUUAAAUACCCAGCAUACAUUGAAUUUCAAUAUAGUGAAGCGGAAACAAUAUCCACUCAAUUUUUCUGGAGCUAUGAGUACAAUAUUAAAGUGCAACCGCUGGGGUCACUACUAAGUAUGCUGAAUACAAUAAUAGCCUGAUUUUGGGUUUUACUACCCUGCAAAUGCUGAAUACCAGUAUUGUGAAACUGAACCAAUAGCCACUCUAAGAAUUUUUCAAGAGCUCAGAAUACAAAUACCCCAGUGCAAUCACAGGAACUUUGUUCAUUCACUACUAAUAUGUACUUAUGCCUUUACAGAACAUAUGACACGAUGCAAAUGGCCCAUGAUGGGAGUUUUCCACUUGAUUGUCUAAAAAACCAAGCCGCUUACAUAAGUACAUAACAGCAGAAUGGUGAACAGAAGGAACUGUAGACAAAACUGGUGCCAAAACUUGUAAGGCUCAAAUUUCGAUCUACACUUCUACUAUCAUAUCAUAAAUGGCAAUUGAGCAGUUUAUGUUAUAAAUGAAUUUUCAUCCAUGUAGUAGGGAGCCAAAUCAAACAGGUGAAAUUCUCCCUUCAGGCAUCUUUCUCUCCACUUGGCCAAUCUUUGAGGGUGGCCAAAUGAUGUGGGUCACCCUCCCCUGAAUUAGACCUAUGGGAAUCUGAAAAAAAACAGCACAAAAAAUAUUAAGUACCAACGCAGCAUACUUUAUAUUAACAAAUGAUAUUGGUUUCUUAUAAUUAUUGUGAGUUUAUUCACUUUUGCGGCUCAAAGUAGCCAAGAACAAACUGUGCGCCCAAUUUAAGCUUUCUCGCCAACCCCUAUAUCAACUUGUUGAUUGGACCAAUGACAAAUGAACUGAACCAUAGUGUCUAUCUAAACAAGCACACUACAAAUAUUGUUGGUAGCAGUUUUAAUGCUUUAUGAUUCAAUAAUUCCCAUGCUUGGCAAUCAAUAAAACAAUAUGUUCAGAACACAGACUAAACCAAGUUUGUUGCCUGUUUUUUCCUGAUGUAAGAUCAAAAUAGAGCUAUAUAAACAGGAAGACAGUUCUGCAAGUUGUUAAGCCUUUACUGUUCUCAUCAAGUAUAAAAGUGUGUGAUCCUGACCUCAGGUGCACUAACAUGAUUGCUUGUUGUGAACUUCUGAUAUAGGUUGUCUUGACUGUCACACUUUUUUGCUUUGUUUUCAUUUGUCAGUUUCUGCUUUUUUUUGUAUCUAGUUUGUGCAGUUUUGUCCAUUGUCCGCAGUGUCCAUAGGAAUUUGAUUUUCAGCAAAAAAGAUGCAACAAGGAAUAAGAGAUAAUUUACCAUUUUGUAAUAAUCUUAAGUAUUGUAGUUUGAUAUUAACUAUGCAUAUUUGAAUGUUGUAAUGUAUAAUAUGAUAUAGCAUUAUUCAAAGAGAUACCAGCAAGGGCAAGCAUGAAUGAAUUUUGUAUGUUCUGGUGUGUUUGGUUAUCUGCUGCCCUCUAUCACCUAAUGGUUAAUCUAGCCCCAGAUACUCCAUAUGCACAUUCUAGGCACCCAGUCUCCAUUUAAAAUGAUGGGUAAGUAUCUCAGAACUUGACCAGAGCACUCCCAUGAGUUUCAAAUUUUAUAACAAGAAGUUAAGCCUCAAAUUCUUUGCAUAAGUACCAGUGCUGGGCGGUUUGCUACAGCCUCCAUAGAUUUCAGAUCCACAAGCGUAUUAAGAAUACUGCCCCUCACGAUUGAAGUACGAAAAAAAUCCAACCAUGAAACAAAAAGUUCCCUAACCUGUCAAAAUUCGAUACUAAACAAGAACACUGAAUGCAUUAAUAAUUUUCAUUCAACCAACUUGUACAUUAUUAACCCAGACAAGGGUACAGAUGCAGGUUUGGAGAAGAAGCAACUUACUGGGCCAAAUGCUCGAGAAUCCCAACUACGAGCAGCAUUAUCACCUUCAACCCAGCAAUGCCCUUCUGGGAUCUUAGUAACCUUAGGGGACCCAGGGAGCUGUAUCCACUCACCAGGAAGUGCAAUCAAUCUCUUCACAAACAACUCCUUAUGAUUGCUAGGGCACCUGCAGACCACACAAGGAACGAUCAGACUCGACUCUCGAGACAUGGAACAAGUUAGCGCAUCAAUCUUUUUGUGGAAUUGCCCCCAUCCUUACUUGAACAAAACCACAUCACCAUGUGAGAACUUGUACUUCUCAAGGCAUCUUCUUUCUGCUAAAACGAAAUCACCUGGUUCCAACACCCUGGUCAGCACAAACGAGAAGACAAACUACUUGAAUAGGGAAGAAUGAACCAACUGUCCAUGACAGCUUGAUAUGUACAAAUUGAAAUCACAAUACCCUGUAAGACACUGUUGGCUGCUGUGAAGGUAGGAUACAUAGAUUCACCAGUCACCGAGACGAAUGUCACACAACGAUCGGAAAUGGUGACGCCAAGUAGAACUGCCAUUACAUUCUUCUUGGCAGUUGACCAAAUAUGGUUGUAGAUUCCCAUAUCCAAGUACCCAACUAUCCAGGCAGUCAUAAAGAUAGCAACAGUAAGUGAAAAUACUGAAUAAACACCAGUACAUCAAUAACUGGGCAGCUAAGACAAUGAACGGCGUAUACAAGAAAUGUGUGGAAGCAGAAAUUCCUCCGGCGGAUUUAACUUGGAGCAUGUGAAAUCAAUCAAGACUUACCAAGAAAUGGGGGUAAGGUUGGUACGGGUGGGUUUCCACUGAUCCAGCGGAGGGACGAGAAGAUUUAGCGCUGGAAAUUCGGAGAAGCAACUGCACUCUUGUACAGUUAUAUUACGGGGUAGAUCGAGGAUGCUUCCGAAGAGGCGCCCGAGAAGAACGGUGGGAUGCUGCCGUCGUCGUCGGCGGCGGCGGCGCGGGCGCGGGGGUUUGGUUUGGGUUGGGCCUGUUCAGUCGGAGAAGGCAGUGCGCGCCCUAGUCGAAAAGAAAAGGCAAAGCAGCCGUCCGAUCGCGCAUCAACGGUGUAAAUUAAAGCCCGUUUACUGGGGACUGGUGAGGGCGUGAGGCUGGGGGUUGGUACGGGUCUGGCUCCAGCCGAGCUGAGCCGAGGGAGGACCCAACUGUGCAUUAGGUCGGCUCCGACUCCGACCCGCAGCCGGCCCUGCCCACAGACAUCGCCCCCUGCCACCGUCGGCGGCGGCGACUGACCCCCGUAGCAAGGCGCCACCGCCACGCUUCGCCCCUGUCGCGCCGCGCGGCCACUUUCUGCGGCUGCUCUACCCCAGGCGAAACCUCCCAUCUCGUCACGGUAAGCACCACUUCUAUCACCGGGCGUCCGCGCCCUGUAUCCGUGCUCUUGGAUUCGACGAAAUCUGGCUUCGCACGGGCUUCUGUAGUAGGGUUUUUGCGUUUCAAAUAACGAAAUUUUGGGUUCGUCACUGGUCCGCCAUGCUGUUGCUUACAGCUUAAGUCACGGCCAUGGAUUUUGAUUAGGGUUUAUAAUAUGGUUUAGCGUCAGCAAAGUCUUGUUAUCGGUGCCUGUCUCAGGAAUAGGGUUUUGCGUCUCGGUAGAAUGUGUUAUUAGUGGCUUAAAGCGGAGCUGAUGAUCAGUUUGCAGCAGCGGGUGGUAGGCUAGAGAAUGCCGUGGAUCCUCAAGUCACAAAUGUGCAAAUUAUCCAUUUGUCCGGAUUUGAUCUGGUUUUAAUUGGGUUUCAUUUUUCUGAGUCUGUGACCUCUGUUCUAUGUUUUAGUAUGGGAUAUUUGAUGCUAUAGUGAUUUUGAUACUGUUAUUAGAAGGAUUGUGGAAUUUAGUUCCAUGAUAUAUGAAAAGUUAUGGUGUCAAUUACUCAUUGCUGUGUUUAUUGAACUUGUUGCCAGUCAAUUGUAUACAAGUUUCUUGUUUUCCCCAAUGCCAUUUUUAGAUUUUUAUCUUAUAUUACAGAUUCAUCCAUUACUUCCAACUCGUUAUAGUUAGGAUUCCCUUUUAUAGUAUAGCAGCAUAGCAGACGUCUGUGGUUCCUUUUUGGAGUUCCAUUGUACUAUUGGAAUUUGUAUGCUUAUUGCUACUACUAAUGCUUAAUGUGCAGCAAAUUUAUAUUAGAGACUUCCUUUCGAUUGCAGACCUUGUUCUGCAGUUCUAUUAUAACAAGUUCAACUGUGGAAUGCUUAUUUCCUUUUGCUAUUGUCUACCUCAAUUUGAUAUUGUUUAUCAUUCUUUUGUGUAUAGAUACCUCAAGUUUCUAGCUACCUGACUGUAUGCAGUAGGAACUACGAUGGAUGGGUCUGAGUCUAGUAGAGGUCGCAGCAAGCAGGAAGUUGAGGAAAAUGUUAAUACAAGGAGCAGUUGGAAGGAGGAACAUGAAAAUCAGGAGAAUGCAGAUAGCAGAAAGUAUUCUGACAGAUCCAGAAAACAUGGAUAUGAAUAUGAAGUUGGGCAUCAGGAUGAUGAUAGGAUGAUCACACCUUCAAAUGAUAGGAAUGAAUCAAUGAGGAACUCAGAUAGAAGCUCAGGCCUGGCCUGCAGUGCUGACGAAGACAUCUAUAAUGUGAGAAAGGACUCACGAUCACCCAAACUUCCAAGGAGAAGCCCUGAUGAUUCCAAGGAUAGGGACUAUGAUAGAAGGAGGGGAAGAGAGGACAAGAAUGAAUGGGAACCUUCAAGAAGAUUUAGCCCCGAUGCUUCUGCUAGGAGUUCCGAGAGGAGGGAGGGUAGCAGGGAGAAGCAACAACGGGACCAAGAGGAAAAGGCUUCAGUCAGGAGGACAGAUGAGGUUUAUGCUGAUGAAAGUGGUGGUUCUCUUAGGGUUGACACAAGAGAAGCCCAAAGGGAUGAUAAAUCAGACAGAGGGAGGGACAGAAGUUGGAAUGAGAAAGCCCGAGAUCUUGAAGGGUCUAAGGAUUAUGGUAGGAACAGUCAGUUGCGAGAUCCUAAGGAGGCAAAUGAUGCUGAAUGGAGAAAUGCACAGGAAAGGCUAGAUGGUGGGAAUUUCCAUGGCCGAGGUGGGUACCGGAGAGAUUCUAGGGGUAGAUCUGAAAGUGUUAGAGGUCCCUCAACCUAUGGGAAUCGAUAUGACAAUUCUGAUUCCAUAGAGAUUCGGCCUAAUAGUAAUCUUAAUUUUGGAAGGGAGGGCUCUGCUUCUGGGAGAAGAUUUGAAGUGGGAGCACAUCGGGAUUCAGUACCAGGAGGAACUGAUGAUAAAUCCACUGAUUAUCCUGAAUCAGAUCCAAGUGGCGGCACCAGCAUGGUUUCUUCAUUUCCUCAACAAGGUCCAAAAGGUGAUAGACCAUCUAGAGGAGGAAGGGGGAGGCCAAAUGGAAGGGAUUCUCAAAGAAUUGGAGUUCCAAUGCCAAUCAUGCCUCCUCCAUUUGGUCCUCUCGGCCUGCCACCAGGACCAAUGCAGCAUAUGGGACCAAAUAUUCCGCAUUCCCCAGGUCCUCCUCUUCUACCUGGCGUCUUCAUGCCGCCAUUUCCAGGACCUCUUGUGUGGCCUGGAGCACGAGGUGUUGAUGUGAAUAUGCUUUCUGUUCCUCCCAACCUUCCCAUGCCUCCUCCAGUUGCUGCUGAACAUAGGUUUACACCAAAUGUGGGAGCUGGUUCUGGUCAUAAUAUUCACUUAAAUCAAAUAGACACUGGGUUAGGUGCUCCAACAGAUGUAUCAGGAUUGGGUUACAAUCAUAUGGGCCCGCAAAGCCGUGACAUGCUCCAUGAUAAACCAGGUUGGACGCCACAUAGGAACAGUGGACCAAACAGAAAAGCUCCUUCAAGGGGUGAACAAAAUGAUUACUCACAGAACUUUGUGGACACUGGCAUGCGGCCUCAAAAUUUCAUUAGAGAACUGGAUCUUACAAGCGUAGCAGAGGACUAUCCAAAGUUGAGAGAACUCAUACAGAGGAAGGAUGAAAUCGUUGCGAAGUCAGCUUCACCGCCAAUGUAUUACAAGUGUGACCUGCGGGAACAUGUUCUUUCUCCAGAAUUUUUUGGUACCAAGUUCGAUGUUAUUCUUGUGGAUCCUCCAUGGGAGGAGUAUGCCCAUCGUGCACCAGGAAUCACAGAUCACAUAGAAUAUUGGAAUGCUGAGGAGAUUAUGAAUUUGAAGAUUGAGGUUAUUCCCGUUUCUUUCUUCAAACCUUUCUCUUUUGGGGGUUCACUUAUGCUGCAGAAUUAACUUGUCAAAAUGUAUUUUUGAAUCAACAGGCUAUUGCAGAUACACCCUCCUUUGUGUUCCUUUGGGUUGGCGAUGGUGUAGGCCUUGAACAGGGUCGUCAAUGUCUAAAGAAGGUAGUAUAGCUGCUAUUUUUUUACUUUUAACUAGCUGGUUGCCCGUGCUGUGCAUCAUAUUUCCAUUAAAAAGCAUAUAGAAUUCUAGGCUCUAACUAUUUGAUUACAUAUAAAAUUAAGCCACAAAGGAACCACAUAUGUAUAAAAUGGAAGGCCCUCUAUGCAUUAUCUUACACACAUAGGUACACACAAUUGCCCAGAAGAUCCAUAUGUAGAACCAACCACUACUAUCACUAACUGUGCUUUCUACAGAAGUAAAGAUACUUGCACAAUUAUUCUUUUUGUAAUGACAUCCCUUUUGGGGGGUGGGAGAUUGAAAUCAGUUUACAGGAGGGCGACCUGGCUGCUAUAGUCGAUCUGCUAAACUUUACCCAUGAUGUGCUUCAUUCAUGCAUUUUGCCCUCUGAGGGAAGGCAUAGCAAUAUAAACAAUGUUCUAUGCUUUCAUUUCAUCUAGAUAUGUCUUUAAAUUUAGAGCUGUUGAUGAAAUGCUGCAUUAACUAAUAUAUGAUGAUCCUGACUGACUUUUUCUAUUUUCAGUGGGGAUUUCGUAGGUGUGAGGAUGUUUGUUGGGUGAAAACGAACAAGAAAAAUGCAACACCAAGUCUGCGGCAUGACUCACAUACAUUGUUGCAGCAUUCAAAGGUAAUGUUGUAGUUAACUAGUAUGUGUUGUAUCAUUGUGCUGCCUUGUUUAUAUUUUUUUGGAAAACAUGCCACGCUUAUAUUCUCUUAUCCCUGUAUUCUCUGUCCGUCUUAUGAAGUAUAUACUCUUUCCAUGUGCAGGAGCAUUGCUUGAUGGGCAUAAAAGGAACAGUGCGUCGUAGCACGGAUGGUCACGUCAUCCAUGCAAAUAUUGACACAGAUAUAAUUAUAGCUGAAGAACCAACUGAUGGUAUUGUUUUCUUAGGUUUUAUAUGAUCUUUAUUCCUGUUCUUCGUAUAUGCUUGUGAUAUACUAUUUGCUUUAUGACCAAGGGUUAUCAUUUUCAAUGAUGGGGUGCAUAAACUCAAUAAACUUAACUUCUCCAAAUUUUCUGUUCUGUUUUCGUUGCUGCGAUGGUAUGAAUAUUCCGGUUUGGUCCACCAAAAUGUAGUACUGUUUUGUAAAUUUGGCUUGGUUGGCAAAAACAUAUUUGUCUUGGCUUUUUAGGAAUUUGGGAUUUACAAAUUAUGUGAAGCAAAUUGUUCGUUGCUACCAUUUCCUCUGGGACAUGCUUAGUUGUUCAUGGUGAGCUUGGUGUCUUUUGAUCUACAAUAAUCAGAAUUGUGAUUAAAAAAAUGAAACUAGAUCAUAUAUUAUUGACUUUACUCAAACACCUAUAGCAAGUAUACCAGUAGGUCUGCAUCUCUUAGUGGUAAUAUCACUAAGCCCUUAUUGUAAUAAUCAAAUUGUAUGCAUGAUUGUGAAUUAUUUUUUUCAUUUUUUUUCGUAUGGUUGAUCUUAAUGUGUUCUCUUCUGUAGGUUCAACAAAAAAGCCUGAGGACAUGUAUAGGAUCAUUGAGCAUUUUGCUCUUGGAAGGAGGCGGCUUGAACUCUUUGGCGAGGAUCAUAACAUCCGUCCAGGCUGGCUUACUCUUGGGAAAAAUUUAUCUUACUCGAACUUCAACAAAGAGGUAUAGCUGGACAUACAACAUCAUGAAUAUACUUACACACGCAAGCCUUUCUAUGCCAUCAGCUCCGCAGAUCUUUUUACAUAGUCUCUGUUAUGAUUUCUCUCUUGCAGACAUAUAUUAGGAAUUUUGCGGACAAGGAUGGAAAAGUAUGGCAAGGAGGUGGUGGUCGAAACCCUCCCCCAGAGGCUCCUCACCUUGUUGUGACAACUCCGGAGAUCGAAAGCCUGAGGCCCAAGUCACCCCCAGCAAAGAACUAGCAGCUGUGGUCAAUUUUGCAGAGCUGGCUACAUUUUUGAAACUGUAGCUUUAACGCUGUUGAAGGUCCAGCUGAGGCCUUGUGAAUUUUCCGUCCGCACAAUUAAAAUUUUUCCGACGGCUCAGUCUGGAGCAACUAUCUGUGAUGGAAAAUACGAUUCACUUUCUCCUAUUGGUGUUCUUUUAAUGCGUCCAAUACUUUUAUGCUCCUCCUUGUUGCUUCAAGGUUGCAGCCAGUAUAUUUGUUCUUGCUGCAUGCCAAGCCCCUCAGAAUAGUAAGGUUGAUUCUAAAUUCGGAUGCUCCCAUUGUGUCUGUCGCAUCGUGCAAGAAACAGAAAUUGUCUAUGCCAGUUUUGCAAAUCGUUUCUGGAACCCUGCCUACCCUGCCUACCUGAUUGAUACUAAGAUGGAGCCAUGGAUAACUAUCCGUGGUAUAGAAAAACCAUUUUUAUUACGGUGUUAUAUUUGGAAGGAAUUCUCUCGAGACAUGCACGCGUACGCUUUCAGACAGGCGCCGAUUUGACAAACCCGGGAUACUGACGAUAGUUUCAGACUAAACAACUCGGCAAGGCGCUAACCUGAUUAGCUAGCAUUACGUUACAGCAUAUGUGCAACGACAGCACUGCCUUGUCCUUUUUAUCGGCCGCAACGAAGUGGAAUACCAACCGUGUGACGCACGAGUCGUUCUCGCCCAGAAGCCAAACCGGACCGUCUCGCCGCCGGAUGAUUGCAAUGCAUCUUUUUUUGAAAUGGUUUACGCGUUGUCCCUGCCGAUGGAAUCUUGCAGGGGAUGGAGAUUUUGCCGCGUGAUUCGAGGGCCACGACGCACGCUCCCAUUGCGGGCCUCCAUCAGCUUCGUUUUGGCCUGGCCCCAAGCUAAAUUAUUCGCCGAAUCUGCUGCUGCUUGUUUGUUGUACUACUACACUAAUUAGGUGAAUUUGUACUACUACACAUUUUGCUUGGAGACGAUAGGCUUCAAUGAAUUGUCUGGAAUUAUUAUCUUGUGUGUCUCUUGUCCUCUCAUGUCGCUGUUGUGUCCUGUACUCCUGUUCUUGUCAGCCCUUUGCUUAGGAUCUUAGCAACAUUACCACUUGGCCGCGAUAUCCCUUCCGAGACAAAUCCUCUAUUAAUGGCUACAGCGACGGAUAAAGCGUAGAAAUCCGGCCAUCCAUCCACUCAUCAUCCCUUCCUCUGCAACACACAAGUCAAUACUUGGAUAUAUCUUGGUUUAAAAAAAUACUUGUAUAUAUACAAAUAUUCCAGCUGCACGCACAACACACGGCUGUACAGUACAGCCAACGUCUCUGUCCCGCUUUUCACCGUGUCUGUCCUCUCCCUCGUCUGCACUACGCUGUCAGCCAUCAAGGAAAAUCACAGUGGCACACUUACUCGGGCAUUGACCUCAGCCUGCAGGGUGAAAACGAUGGCGCCGUGCCGGGUUAACCUCUUCACAGGAUCUGAAACGGCUGCUUGAUCCUGAUGGAGAAAGAAGAAAGCACGGCACACAGUUUGCACGCUGUAGCCUGAAACAACCCUCAGGAAAACGUGCUACUGACCCAUCGCCGUUCAGACGUGCAUGCAAAUUAUUUCGCGAGGCGAUUGAUGGAUGGCGCGCUGCACCUUCCAGGAGCCGAGUUGGUCGGAGAGAGCGCGGCGCAGGACACGAUCGGACGGCCUGGACACGAGAGAAUGGACGUGUUUUUUGUUGGGUUUCUCUUCUCCGGUGUCCCGCUCCGUCGGCUUCGCGGCGGGUUGUUGGGGUUGGGUUCGGUGUGACGCGCUCCGGAUUCUGACGCGCGCGGGUCAGGUGAGGUAGCCGGCCAGGGCUUCCCAAAUUUGUCAGGGAAUCGUACCAGCUGGGUGUCGGGUUCGAAAGAACCGGCAGGGUGAAGGCUACCACCAGCCGCUGCUGCUGCUCCACAAGAUUUCAGCGUCAGGCGGUCAGUGUAUCACUGAUGGAUGGACGCACGUACAGUGAGCUGGGCUCCUGAAGAAUCAUGAGCCUGCCUGGCUGAAAACAGCUCGCAUCGCGUCCUGCUCUGCUCCUGUGCGCGCGUGUUCGAUCGAGAGAAAAAGGAAGCAUAGUAUUUACUAACGGUAGUAGGUAAUGGAUGUGUGGAUCGAUGGAAAUGUACAGAUAGCCUUGACAUUUGCGGCCACAUCUUGCAAAAAUAUCUUCUCAACACUAAGGUUGCACUGGACUGAAACGUGAACUGGGUGUGCAUAUCUAUCUAGCUUGCUGGAUAGAGGGAAUGGCGUGUUCUAACUAACCAAGCUAGCUAGUUCACUUCGCGUACUACAUACAGACUAGGCCGGCACAAAGUUCCAAGAGAUAGGAUGUGUAGGGUGUAGGUCGAGUACCCAUAGCGUACAAUCUCAUGCAUAAUCAAAUCCGGUAACACUAACCAUGGAAAUUAACUUCGGGAGGAUCUGAUGCAUUCCCACGUUUGUCAAUUGUCAAAGAACCCUAAUGAUGAAAAACGUACUAUACUACUCACUGCCGAACAAAUUAAGGAAGACCAUCGACCGAUCAGCUAGCUAGCUGAAAAAUGCAUCCAAACAAGCUGCUUUUGUCAAUGCCUGCUGUUACAGCUUGACUCGAUCAGUCGUCUUAUCGUCCAGAGUAGCUUAAAUUAAAGUACGGCAGCAAGUCAACAAGUGAGGCCAUCACACAGGUAACGAUGAACCGCUUUAUCUUGUACGUACAUCGGUACAUGUACAUCACCCAGCAGGUGCCACGCAUACCACGAUCCCAAAAACCCUACUACACGUCGUACGUACGCGAGCAACAGUGUCCAUGCAUGUAUCCAUCGAUCUCAACAUCUGGGAAAUGCUUGUGUGGUCGUCUGUGCUCAUGGUCCAAAGUCCAAGCCGUAGCCUUCAACCGAUCCCUAGCGGGAGAUGAUUGAGCAGCGACCAUUCCACUGCUGCUGCUGGGGAAAGCAUCCUCAGUAUCGGUUUCUAAUCCCCUUUUAUUACUGGUUGUACAACCGGUAUUGCUACUUCGGUACUAAAGGGUACUAGUACCGGGUCAAAUAAUCGGUACUACAGGAUAUUAGAAAAAAUAAAAAAAGAAAUCCGGCCGGCCGCCUGGCCCUGCAUCCCGCUGGGUGCACCCGGCUGCGCCGCCACCGCGCCUCGUCGGCGCCGGCUACCCCUCCCCCGCGACCCGCAUCCCACUGGUCGCACCUCGCUGCCCCGCUGCCGCCCCGCCGCCUGCCGACAUCUGUGGCCCCGCCGGAUCCGGCCGGCCGCACCUCGCUGCCCCGUCGGUCUGGCAGCCGCCAGAGCCUGGAGCGCCGGAGCUUAGGCACGGUAGGAGGGAAGGGAGGGGAGGGGAGGUGCGGGGGAGGGAGAGGGGCGUGGUGGCGCCGCCGCCGUCAGCCCCGGAGCAAAAAAGAAAAAAGAAAAUACCUAUGCCCCGCGCGUCGCCGCGUCCGGCCUGCAGCAGGCCCCUGCACCCCGCCGCCUCCGGCUGGCCGCUGCUCCCCCGCGCGCUGCUGCACCCCCGCACGUCACCGCUUCCUUGCUGUCGCUCCUCAUUGCCCUGCACCUCGCCGCGCUGCCACUACUCACUGCCAGUGAGGGACGAGCAGAGGGGGAAGGGGAGGGGCAGCAGAGCUGGCUGGCGAUUGAGCAGAGAUUGGGGGAGCGAGAGAGGAGGGGGCGAGGCCUGCGGCGGGAGAGGGGGCGGCUGGGGAGAAGAGAGAAGGGGAAGAGAUAAGUGUGAGAGAAGAGGAGAUAAGUUUGAGAGAGAAGAGAUAAGGAGGCGGGUGGGCAGUUAGUACCGGUUGGGAGCUACAACCGAUACUAAAGGUUGCACAUUAGUACCGGGCUCAGGCACAUUAGUACCGGGUGGAUGGGUGACCUUUAGUACCGGUUGGAGCCAACCGAUAUUAAAGGGGUCACGGGAGGCUCUUAGGGAACUAGCCGUUAGACACGGUACUAAUGCUCACAUUAGUACCGAGUCAAAAAUCAACCGAUACUAAGGGCCAGAACCAAUGCUCAGUUUUCCAGCCAGCGAUUUGAAAGUGAAGCCGCAGCAUAUGAUGGAGUGCUGGGAGAGCGAGAGCAUUACAUGUGCUGAUAGAUGGUGUGAAUGGAGGGAAGACUUCGCAGGGAGCUAGCGAGCUAGCUGCAUGCCGUCGAAAUCGAUCGGAGGACCAUGGUUUCGUGGCGUGCAAUUAUUUUGGCGAGGCGACUUGUGAACGCAUUCAAUGCGCGGGCACCAUCUACUCCCAGUAUAGCUAGCUUAUCGACGACGUGCAUCAGUGCCUGGCUGCAACUGGCAUGCUGUACGCACUUGCAAAUCGUAACGCUGACAAUUCGGUGUACUAAGUGUAUCUACAUCUAUAUAUAUCGGUAGUAGGUCGAAUAGGAGUAUAAGACACAUCAAUUACAUCGUACAGCCAACAGAAUUGGUGUGAUAUAUAACACGUGAGUACGUGACAACAAAGACAACCACUCUGUCGUCUGAAAUUGCAAGGGUGGUUAUUUCAAUUCUUUAGAAAAAAGGAGCAACCAUUAUUCUACUGCCACAUAAUUUUUGCGAUACAAGGUUGAUGCUAAUAGAUUUAUAUUUUAAAAAAUACUUUCUUACAAAUACACAUUUAUAUUGUGUAAACAACAUAUUAAUAGAGUAAUUGUUGGAUAUAAAUAACUAUCUUACUAGAACAUGAAGCUUCAAUCAUGUUCUGAAGUCAAGAGCAGUUAAAACGGAGGAAAAACUGCAGUACACGACGAGGCCGUGGACGAAAUCAUGCAGCUGCUUUUUCAGUGCUGAGGUGAUAUCCAAAUACACGCAUUGAAACUCGUGGGGACGAGCAUCCAUAAAUGCCUUCCCACCUGGACAAGCACGCGACCUCGUCCGCUUGCCCUUGAUCCUACCGAAUUAUUUUUUUAUUUUAACCCUUUUACAUCUAAAAUUUUGAAAAUAACCCCACCCAAUCUAAAUUACCAAAAAUUAGCGCUUUUGGUCGCGCUAAAAGACAUGGUGCGACUUAUAACAGAGUCACGCCAUAUGCAAUGGUGUGACUAAAAUACCACAAUAAAAUACCACAAUGGUGCGGUCACGCCAGCAUGUAUGGCGUGACCAGCGUCGAGCUGGUUGCAGGUUGCUAGCAUGUGUAGUAAGUGCAAAAAAAAUCAGUUCACUUAACCUUAUUUCCUUUUAUACUUUAAUUAGCUAAUCAGCACUUAAAUUCUCCAAACUUGGUAGACAUAAUACAUAAAGUAUACAUGUUCCAUUUUAAGUGCUUGCACUCCAAAAUAUGAUGUAAAUAAUGAAAAAUCCUAUUUCAAAAUAGUCUAAGAGUUAUUGUUUCCCAAGUGGCUGAAAUGUCUGUGUUGUGGAUAUGUUAUCAAAUAGCCAUGUUGAGGGGUGUGGAUUUUUGGAUUUUGGCCAAACACUCCAAAUUUGGACAACAUGAAAGUUGGAGUAGAAAUUAUACACAUUGUCAUAGAAAGAUUAUGGUUCAACGAUCUAGAGCAAUGAGAGUUCAAAGAUCAAGUCCAAGGUUGCAAAUUAUCCCAUUUUCAGCCUCGACGGGAAAUCUCACCGAGUCCUGGAAACAGUGAUAACUAUGCUUCUUUGGAUUAUGUUUUAAAAAGAUUUCAUGUAUCAACUUUAGUUCACCUGAAAAUUGAGUAGGAAUAUCGGGAUUUGGGAAGUUAAGAAGGACCAAAAUGGAGACUUGAUUAUUUAUUUUGGAGCCUAAAGUUUGAACUUAUCACUAUUUUUAACCAUGACAGGAUAUCACCGAAACUCUGAAGCUAAGCUCGAGAUCACUUAACCUAUUUAUAAAUUGGAUACUUCAUUUUAUACACCAUAUUUAGAGUACCAACACUUAAAAUGGAAUAUAUACACUCCAUGCAUUAUACCUGACAAGUUUGAAGAAUUUAUGAUCUCAUUAGCUAAUUAAAAUAUAGAAGGAAAUAAGGCUACUUAGAAAAAGGCUAGCAAGGAGCUUGUCAUGCCAUACUUUGGCGUGACUGACCGUCACACCACGCAACUUGGCACGUCAGCCCCACGUGGUGGCCGCGCCAUCGUGGGAUUUUAGUCACACCAUUGCAUGUGACGUGACUCUGUUAUAAGUCGUGCCACGGCUUUUGGCACGACCAAAAGCGCUAGUUUUUGCUAAUUUAGAUUGGGAGAGGUUAUUUUAAAAUUUUAGAUUUAAAAGGGUUAAAAUAAAAAAAUUCUGAUUCUACCGGGGUCGGAAUGGAUAGAAUUUAAUUUGGUCAGGGAUCCAUACUGCCAAUAAUCAUACAACUUGGAGCACUUUGUUUUGGAGCUACAGUACUACUAGAACUCGAGGGCAGUCGCAAUGGCAGUCAUCUCCAUGAUCGCACCGUGAGAACUCGAGGGCAGUGCACAUGCCGGUGUUGGCGGAUUCACAUUCAGAACUUUCAGAUGAUGAGGUUCCGGCAUGAACGAAGGGAUUGGGCAAAAGCAGUAAGGGGAAGCAGGGUUGGAGCUAGAAAGUCAUUUUUCCGUUUUUUUUUGGGAGGGCGCAAUUUUUCUUCAAAAUUUGAUCAAAUUCAAAAAUUUAAAGGACCAUGACUAAAGAAGGCAGAUUCUGAAAUACUUCUGGAAAUAUAAGGUUCAUGUUAAUAAUAGAUUCAUCAUGAAAUACACUUUCACAAUAUAUAUAUACAGCAGUCAUUUCUAUUUAAAACAACAGUACAGUUUUUACACAUAUUUUUUGAGCAAAUGUUUUUAUAAAAUAUUUGCACAGUUAAAUUGACACAUAAGAGAUCGCGUCGAUGAUGUCUAGAUGAACUUAUAUUAAUGAUCAAGAUGAGCUAUUAGGAAAGCGGGGGAGCAUACACGAAGCGAAACAGAAUCUAGUUGAGAUGGUGCCAAUAGCAAAUAUUUAGAUAUGCACACUGAGGCAUCGAUCCCUACUAAAAUUAUCAGAUAAAGAGCAAACAAAAUUUCCUACAUUUAGCAUAUCCAAUCAAUCGAUCGUCUAUAUCAUAGAGCAAUCAUCAGAGCCGUCGAGAUGACCCAUUUGAGCUCAUUACGACAAGACCGAAGAAAGGAAAAUAAACCUAUCAACUUCUUCUAGUACGUACUACAAAAAAAAGUUUGUUUAACAUUUGUAUCGUUUAAGCAAGAGCAACAGCUAGCAUGAUUGAAGCUUCCUUGCUUUUUGCCGUUGCGGAGAUGACGUGGUGCUUAAUGUGCUAAUUAACAUUGGACAGCAAAGAUUGUUAGAUUAUCACAAUCUCAUCAGCUCCCUCCUCCUCCUCUGCCUUCGUUCGCACGCCUUCGUUCGUACUUGGAACCUAGGAUACACAUACACGCAUCUAUGCUGUGCCUAUGCGUGCGUCAACCGAUCAAAAUUCAGCAAAUAAUUAAUACCGGGACAUGAUUAGCAACGAUUAUAAAGACAUUUUACUGCAUUGAUCCUUCUCUCUGCCAGCCGGUCAAAUAUCCAAUCCGAACGAACGUCGUUGAUCUGAUGCAGUGCCAUCAUGCUCGCUUUACGGGGAAAAAAGCGCAGCCAUCCACCAGUUCAUGUUCAUCCAUGGAUAGAUUCUGCCGCAAUGCAGGCACGGAUUAUCCUUCCUCAUCCAUAGCAUUAAGAUGGUCAUCUUCCCCAUUAUCUAAAAAAAAAAGAUGGUCAUCUUCCCCGGCCGGCCCUGUUCAUCGGCUCUUCCAGUUGAACAGUCCCGGGUCCCCCACCAAACACAAAGCGAUAAUCCAACGCGAUUAGUUAGGUAAACCACGCGUUGUUAAACCUUAAUGAGCCCGCCUGACUUUUUUUACCCGCACCACGUACCCAGGGUCGCAACGCACGCAUACGACCGGCCGACGGCGACACGGCUGCGGAUGGAUUGGGCGGACGGCGACGAGCCAACCGUCCUGGCUCGUCCCCGGCGAGAAAGGGAUCGGAUUCAUACGAGCUAGUAGCUCUUAAGCUGUGGUGCUGCUGCUGCGAAUGAAGCUGCGGCGUCGCUGUCGGCGUUAACAGGGCCGUGGACCGGUGGCGUCCGUACCUACAGAGAUCGCGCCCCGGCGGCAGAUCGAUUCAUGGAGCUGCUGGCAUUAGAAAAAAGAGCGCGGGCGCGGCGAGCCUUUGGUGGCCGCACACGUACGUCGCCCGCCCCGCCGCGCCGCUUAUUUAAGCCCGGCGUCGUCUGCCUCACUUCACCACCACCACCAAGCAGCCGCAGCCAUCCACCGGCCUACCAGCGCAGCGCUGGACGUAUAUAAACAAGCCUGGCCGCCUCGUACCAACUACGAAGCAGGUAGGCGCGCGCACGACAGAUUGAGCACCGUGCGCUCGCCAGCACAAGAGAGUUUGGUGCCGUGUUGGGCGGCAUCGGUCGGCCGGCCGGCGGCCAUCAUAUCGGAGGAUAGUCAGCAAGGCGCAAGCUGAAGGGCCGGCUGCUACGCGGAAUCGGGGCAUUGUGUAAGUUCCUUCUGUAUAUCUCAACUCCUACUUCGUCCGAUCCUUGCUGGUUCUUGCUUUGCUUUCAGGCAUGAAUGGUAAGAUAGGGAUGUGUUAUGUGACAUGAUAUAUAGCAAGGUGCACUUGCCGCCGGCCUGCUAGGUUUGUAUGCAUUUGUAUCCGUGAGAAGGAACGCUUUCAUAACGUACAUAUACACGUACGCGUACCUACCUUUCUUUUAUUUGACCUCGUAUAUGUGUGUAGUACUCCGCAGCUUCAGCCUUCAAUCUCUUUCAUCAGUCUAUCCCCUGAACCGAUCGUCAUCAGAGUAGAUGAUGGUGAUCUCGAAUUUGAAGCCGGCCGGUCUGAUAAGUACAAAGUACUAGUAACUGGAGUAGCCAAAGAAGCGAGCGAGGAGUAGUGCACAUGUUUCGAAUCCAGCGUACGUACACAGCAAGCAGUCGUCGCGGCUGGACUGAAACGCUCAUGUGUGCAUACGCGCUUGACUGUACUCGGUGCGCACAUAUACGUACGUCUCGGUAUGUGCAUGCGCGAACAAGUUGCAGCACUACAUGACAUAUCCUGAACUAAAGCCAGAUCGCACUAGUAUAGAUCGUACAUGCAGUAUAAAUAGUUGCAGCACUAGAGUAGGAGUAGUUCAUAGUGGAGACUGGAGAGACAUGGGUGCAGUACUGGAGCCGGCACUACCAGAACAACAUGCACGGGUCGAUCGCCAGCAACUUGGGACGGGAUCACGGGGACACGCACACGCAUACGGCAUACAUGUCGCCAGGGCCAGGGCAAUGAGCUAGCGCCCGGGCAGAACUUGUUGGAAGCACGAGUACUUCAACAUCCCCGGCUCCCUGUCAUCAGUGAAUUUUCGAUCCAAAUGGGGGCACCAAUCAUCCAUUCACAAUAUUUGACAAGACAGCUCGAAGAUUUUGUGCACAAAAAAAGAAGAAGAAAACAGCAUCAGCCACAGGUACAGUAACAGUGCAAAAAAUCAACACCAUUUUUUACGUUUUUUUUUCUGUCAACACGGGAUCACUGCGGUGGUAGCUAGGUAGGUAGGCGUAGUUAUUUUGAGGAGAAUCAGAAGGCAUCGAUGAUGUGUCCUGGGCGGGCGGAGCAACCGUGACAGGCAGCAGAUCGAAAUCGAACCGAAGCUUAUCCCUGAAACAAGUUGACAACCCGGGCCUUUUUUCGCGGUGUUCCUUGAAGCUGCUGCUGCGAGUCUGCAACGAUCAACUUUUUAUAGCUCCCAAAGCGACGGCCACGAAGAAACCUGACACCAUCUUAUCCUAUCCCCCUCUCUCUUUCCCAGCAUGUGAUUGAUUGCACGGACGCGGGCCUCAGUUGGGCCAAAAGCCCGGACUUGGUGGACGGCUGGAGGUUGGUGUCGGUCGCAGGCUGAUCCGAUCGAACGGUGAUGCGUAGCCCUGAUGCUGGCUGUUGUGCUGCAGCAACUUGCGGUACUUGUAGGUGAAUUGUCCCGGUCUGAUGUCGUUAGGGCACUUAUGAAACACACCACAUGACCUUGUCUUCAAAUCAAAUCAGACGACGCGCGCGGGCGAUUGAAUUUGACGCCGCCGCCCUAGCUAUCUGGGGGAUGGAGGCAUCAAGCUCUGCAUCUCGUCUCUGAUCGAUCACUGUUCUAGCUAGGUUUACUGGCAUGCAGUGAAGCCACAGGACAGUAGGCUAUCUAGCUGGUCGGCGUUGCUGACAUGCAAGUUCAGGGCUUGCAUCGGUGGCCACUUGCCAGUGUUUUCUCUUUCAGUUCAUGGGUCUGGCACUUCCAAGUUUCCAGCAGUGUAGUGUGCCACUAGGCUCCGUGCUCUGCCUUUUGUUUAGACAGGGUAGGUCAUGUGCCCAAGCUAAAUUAUUUUUUUUCCUUCAUCUGAUCUGUGGCUGUCCACAAGUUUAUUGACACGUGGCUCCGCUCUUUGCCACUAUUGAGACUGCAAAUCUCUUUAAAAAAAAUACAAGCAGAUGACAGAAGGCACCAUCUGAGGGAGCACUGUUACUAGUGGACACUGUACUGGGUCUAACCGCACUUUUAAGACCUCAUCACAGCUGAUGCCACUAACGUCAACCCAUCCCUGUCAGUCAGUGCAACCGACGCUUGAUGAUGAGCUAGACUAGAAAUAAAGCUUCGUUUCAAGUGCCGGAAUUUUCUCUUAUUCCUGUAGGAGUGGAUCAUAUUUUUCUUCUUUUCCAAGCAUAUGUCCUUAUAACUAUGACAGGUUCCUUGUACAGCUCCUACCAAAAUCUAAAAUUGAUCAUUGUCCAUAGAAAUCCUAUUUUUAUUACACCGAAAACGUGUCGCAUAGGGUGGUAAUGGAUCAUGGCCCCAUAUCUUCUUCACAAUCCAAUUCAGCCCUACGUUCAAAAUCAUAUCAUAUUAUGUGAUCCGAUCUUUAUUGAGCCUGAUCCUUUACCUCUCCUAAGUAGUAGGAGUACUCCUAUUUCCUCGUAAUCCCAAUAUCUCCUUUUUAUUCUCCAGAAAAGAUUUUUCAUAAUUGCAUUUAUUCCCCGGACCGGAUAUAUACCGGGGGACGUAAAGCAAUCGAUAUUGAUAGCUGCCCUCUAGUUUUGUCGCUUCAACCGGACGCGUUUUCUUGGAUCUGAAGAAAUGGGCACCAUCAGCAGGAAUCCAAUUCAAACAUCAGUCAGCUGGGCAAACUCCCACGCGCUAAAUUCCAAAUCUGAAACAUCAAAAAUCUGGGUUCCGUCUCUAAUCGUAGUUCUCUCAGGAACCGAAUAACGGAUUCACUAGCACGGGAAAAGGAAAAAUGCUAGGUGUACUCUGAUGACAACAGCUCCAUACGAAAAUUGAACCAGUACCCAACACAAAUUCGACCGUUACUUUCCAUGACAUGCCCCUUUUAGAAGUCGACCAAAGUUUGGUGAUGUGAGGGCAUUUUGCAUGGCAAAUCUAUUAGUAGUCUCCUUAUCCAUAUUGCAAUGUAUAGUUUCAAUAGAAAAUGGUCUUCAGAAAUUAUUUUUUAUGUUUAUUUUCUCAUACAAUAUAUUCUCAAACUUAGGAUUUUGCACCAGAAAAACACCCGAUCCUAUAUCCCGAAAAGAGUCGCGAGAGCAACAUGAACUUUUUUUAUGUUUGCGACGCUCAAUCUUGUCCCAACUUACUAAAAAGAUUGUUCACGAUACAAAAAGAAGAGCAAUUCCUUCGACAAGAAAGCUAAAUAGGCUAUCCAUGAAUUAAUCCAGUUUAUUAGAUGCACUUUGAUCCACGAAUUAAAAAAAGGUUAUCCAGGUACAACCUGUCCAUAUAACGUUCAAGUAUAGUCGGAGGCAGUAGCGAAUUAUGUUUCUAUACUUAGGGUAUGUUUGUUUUCCUCCUAAAUUAUAUAAGUUGGAUUAUGGUCCAAGGGUAGGAGGAUAAAAAAUCAUCACGGGACCGCUAGAGGAUCACAAAUAAUCUGAAAUACGCUAGUCUUGGAUAGCUUAUUUCAAAUUAUACAUGAUCCCAAAGUAAUAUUUUACCAUAGUACCCAUGACCCAUAAUCCAACUUAUUAUAAUCCUAAAUAAACAUGGCCUUACAAGAUCAGAGAACAAACAUAUCCUCUAGACGAAAAUAAUCACCCAUUACCCAAAAAACGGGAGCUCCGGCUGAGUACGCGUAGUAAAAUGCCAUCCUAGAGCCCCACUGCAUGUGGGACCCUUGACCCAAGUCCACCACAUCCCGUGAAAGCGGAGGAGGCACUGCCCUCCCCCACACGCCCGCCCACACGGCUCCCAUGGCGACGCGCCCCUAUUUAGCCGCCCCCACCUCCAUGCCUCCAUGCCCACCACCGCCACUUUAUUCUCCCCUCCGCUUCCACCAAUCCACCACCUCGUCCUCCUCCUCCUCUAGCAGCCUGGCAGCACUGUGGACUAGCCGCCCUCCCAUCCGAUCCCCUACUCGAAGGUGAGCAGCCCUGCGCCCAUGCCAAAUUUCUCUCGCAAUCCGAUCGUAGCGUAGCACACAAAUACCCCUUCUUGAUACCGGUGCCUUGCGUGGAUUUGUGCCGGAUCUUCUGUCUUCGGUAAGGCCGGCUCUAAUCCACUGCAAAACCAGUUUGAUCUGCACCGAAAUCUUGUAGGGGGCAUGUAGGGUUCUAGUGUUUUACCUGCUUGUUCUAGUCGUAGCAGCAGCUGUCCAAAAUCUUGGGAUCCUUUUGGCUUUAUUUGUACUGACUGUGUGAAAGCUCUGUAUUGAUAAAGGCUUUUUUUUCUCUCGCUUGAAUUGUUGCAGGAUACACCGUGAGUAGGCGUGAUGGUGCUUGAUACCAAUACGUGUUCCCCGUUUUCGUGCAGUCUAACAUCGUUUCAUGCUAAAUCGCAUUAGUUUAAUGGGACGAAUACACUACUUCAUUUGAGAUCAUUGCACAUCCUUUAAGAUUUUAUUCUCUUUUCUUUUUUUAGCAAUAUUACUUUCUAGCUCUUUGGUUUAUGUCCAACAUUUUUGUGUCUGCUCCAAUUUUGCAGGGUCUUGAGUUAAUUGGUUGGGCAAGGAGGUGGUUGAUUCCAGCAGGACCCUUCUCGUGAGCCUAGUCUGACCGGCCUUGGUAUUUGGGGGUUGUUCUGUACUCUCUUUAAUUUGUGAGUUGUGACAGGUUCUUGAAGUGCAAUUGUUAGAGUUUUAGUUGUAGCAGAAGAGAGAAUUUGCUAAUAUGGCGUUGGCAGGGACUUCCAAAGUAGUGCUGGGAUGUAUCGCCUUUGGGAUUUUCUGGGUGAUGGCUGUCUUCCCCACUGUCCCGUUCAUGCCUGUUGGACGGACGGCUGGGUCCCUCCUUGGUGCUAUGCUAAUGGUCCUGUUCCGUGUCAUCUCCCCGGAGGACGCAUAUGCUGCAAUUGACCUCCCGAUCAUCGGCCUGCUCUUUGGGACAAUGGUCGUCAGCAUCUUCCUUGAGAGGGCUGACAUGUUUAAGUACCUCGGUAACCUGCUCUCAUGGAAGAGCAGAGGUAGCAAGGACCUGCUCUUCCGAGUUUGCAUUGUGUCUGCCUUUGCAAGCGCACUUUUCACCAAUGACACAUGCUGUGUCGUGCUCACUGAAUUCAUCCUCAAGGUUGCUAGGCAGAACAACCUACCACCACAGCCUUUCCUUCUGGCCCUUGCCACUAGUUCAAACAUCGGCUCUGCUGCGACGCCGAUUGGUAACCCUCAGAACCUUGUCAUAGCAGUGGAGAGUGGGAUUUCAUUUGGUCAGUUCCUGCUAGGAGUUUUCCCAGCAAUGAUUGUUGGGGUUCUGACAAAUGCUGCUAUCCUCCUUUUGUACUUCUGGAAAUACCUGUCUGUGGAGAAGGAUCAGGAAGGUGGGCAACCAGAAGGGCCAGAGGUUGUUGCCGACGAUGAGGUUACCUCACAUCGGUUCACACCGGCUAGAAUGUCACAUGUUUCUUCCCUGAAUCCAGAUGAUGUGGAUUGCAUAAGUGAACCAAUCAUCAGGAGCAACAGUGUCAGUACCAGUGUGAAUGAGAACCUGAGGAGCAGAAGCAUCAAUUCUGAGGCUGACAUUCAACUCGCCAUCAAGUCUCUGCGGGCAUCGAGCAUGUCACACGAGAUGGUAGAGGUCUCGACGGUUCCUGAUAGGAGAGAUGAAGGUGCAUCCUCAAGGAAGUUCACUAGAACUGCUAGCCAACAAAGGAGUGUGAUAAUAGAGGACCUGCCACCCUCCCCUGACACCAAUGGGGAAAAGGACAAAGAAGCUGAAGUUGCAGAGAAAAGGUGGAAAAUUCUUGUGUGGAAGACUGCUGUUUAUCUUAUAACUCUCGGUAUGCUCAUUGCACUUCUAAUGGGGCUUAACAUGUCCUGGACUGCAAUUACUGCAGCUCUUGUUCUUCUGGCACUUGAUUUUACAGAUGCACAGGCUUGCCUUGAGAAGGUAUGUUCCUCAAAUUUUGAUCAAUGCUUAGAGAGUUGAUACUUUUCUUAGCAUGAAUGAUGAUCAUCUUCUUGACUUGCAGGUGUCAUACUCAUUGCUGAUCUUUUUCUGCGGGAUGUUUAUCACGGUUGAUGGUUUCAACAAAACUGGCAUCCCGAACACAUUAUGGGAGUUAGUGGAACCAUAUUCACGAAUUGAUAGUGCCAAAGGUGUUGCACUUCUUGCGGUGGUGAUUCUUAUCCUUUCAAAUGUGGCCUCAAAUGUUCCCACAGGUACUUUUUCUCAAAUUGAUUUCUUUUGGGCACUAUUGGAAAUUUUAUGAACACGGCCAUCUGUAAUCAUUUAAUACUUUAUAACAUAUAUGCUAUUUUGUUUAAGAAAUCUGUUAUAUUGGUAUUUUAGAGGCUGUGUGCUCAUAUGGCCUUCUGGUCUCUCUGUUCUUUUCUGGUGCCUAGCAUGAUUAAAGGAACUGGAAUAUUACUCUAGCAUUUGGUGCGCAAAACUGAAAUUUGUACAUCAUUUGCAAAAUUUGUACAGAAUUAAACUGAAUUGCCACAACAAUUCAUGAUCCACAAAGAGGAACACUGACUUUAGUAAGACUUAAAAUAUUUGUAGUGCUUUAUCAGAGUACUUUCUGUGCUGUAAAACAUUCAAUCCUGAGCCUAUAUUUGUGGAAAGUAAUCAUGGAAGUUAUAUUGUUCUCACAGAAAUAGGUUUGAAGGCACUUAAUUUAUCCAAACCAGAGAUCUAUAUAUUAUACUGAACUGAGCAACUUAUGGUCUUUUAGUCUGUACUGUACUUCAGAACUCAGAAGUUUGCGAGAGUAAUUAGAUCCAGCAUGUUCAUCCUAUAUCGGAACUUUUCUUUUCUUUUUUCAGUAUUGUUGCUCGGUACAAGAGUGGCUGCAUCAGCUGCCGCAAUUUCUCAUGGUUCAGAGAGGAAGGCCUGGCUCAUUCUUGCAUGGGUCAGCACCGUGGCUGGGAACCUCACCCUCUUGGGUUCCGCCGCGAAUCUGAUCGUGUGCGAGCAGGCCAGGCGAGCCCAGUUCUUCGGCUACAAUCUCACCUUCUGGAGCCACCUCCGAUUCGGGGUGCCAUCGACCAUCAUAGUCACGGCGAUCGGGCUGCUCAUCGUCAUCAGUUACUGAAGUCAGCUGAAGGCAGGCGAUAGUGUACGAGAAGCAGAACGGAUAAAUCCAUCCAAUAAGAAAUCACAUGUAAAAUAGGCUUGUAACUCUCGUGUGUGUGUCAGUAUGUGUAUGUCUCCGUCUGUGUUCUUGCUCAUUUGGCGCUGCUAGCAGACUGCAGAUAGCUGACCGUGUAGCCUGCAUUUUCAUUCCUGAACGGAUGUUGCAAAUAGGGUUAAUGAAGAACGGUAUGAUAAUCUGAUUGCUGAUUUUGUGUUCUAGAUGCUUAACCGUGAGUUUCUCCAAGCUUGUGUUUCGAUUUCUGGAGCAAAGCGUUUAAAUAGUUCGUUUCCGAAGCUGAAACUCUGUUAACUUCUGCUUUCAAAUAAAAAAUCCGAAAGUGAAGUUUGGGCAAAAAUUGGAAGCAGCCCAUCACCUCAUUGGGCUUAUUGUGCCCAACAGCUAUAACUUUCGCCCACCCACCACUAAGCCUAGGCCCAGCGGAGAGAUCCUUUGCAGUUCGCCCAUUCCCGCCGCCGCCGCCGCCAUCGUCAACGCCGACAGGUCCACGAGCGCGGCGCCCGCGGCGAGAGGAUCAUCCUUCUCCGCCGCGAUAGAAGUGGACGCGGAGAGGCCUCAGUUCGAGCCUUCUUCGAGGCGCUGAUGCCAAGCGAGAUGAACGGCGGGAGGCCCCAAUCCCGGAAGUAGCCAGUGCCGAUCCACCGGUUCGCGCCGCUGUAGAGGUGUCGGAUGGAGAAUUGGAGAUAUACACUCCCGUCAACGGGCACAUGAAAAUCGACAUCCGCAUGAACCUUAAGGUGCGUGGCGUGACCUUGUGAUUUGUGCUUGUGCUUUUUUAUUUGAGCGUGAAAAGCGUCUGGAGUUGUGGUUAUCCUUGCAUCAUGGAUUAUAUGAGUCUGCAAAUCCUUAAUUGUCGAUUAGACAACUGUUCGUGUAAUUUUGUAGGAUGAUAUCCCAACGUAGAAGGUGCAUAUUUGACGAAUGCUCAUAUAAGCUGAAGUAUAGAACCAGCAUUGUAGAUGAUGGUGUGCUGUUGUUAUUAUGAGGAUGGAAUUUGUGGACGGGCUGAUAAAUUCGAUCAGUGUUGGAGUAUCUGUGCUGAAGGGAUAAAAUUCAGUAGUAUAAUGGAUCCAGCUUUGCUGCGAAUCCGAAACAAGUAGUGCAAAAAAUAAUUCUAAUUGUGGAUCCCUUCAAUCACUUCUGCCUGUCAUGAACAUAGUUAUUCAGUAAGGGGUUCCAACUUCAUUUUUAAAAUGAGCAAGCACAAAUAUUCGAAAGGAUAGCUCAGUACUUGUUCACAAAUACCAUCAAUCAUUAUUUUGAUCUUCAUAGAUAUGCAUGACAACAGAACCUUAUAUUUUGAAUAAUGAAAAUACUUUCUUUGUUGAAUUGUUGUGAGCUGUCAUGACGCUUUGGUUCCAUGGAUUCCUGUAUUAUCCCCUUGUUUUUUUUGUUUUAAGUGACGAUAUCACCAAUGCUUGCAAGCCUAGACCUCCUGACUACUGUUUCCUGAACGAAUUGUCAUUAUUUUAUUUCGUAUUCCUUAACCGCUCUGCUGUAUGAUUAGGCCAUUUCCUACGAAGCAAACCCAUUAAAACAAUAACUAUUUCGUCUACCUCAGGCAGGAAGGGCAGAGCUGAAAACAAGCAAGGCACACCUGACGUGAGCAACCUGCAGAAAUGCUUGGACUUCUUCGUGCAUGCAUUCAUGCUUGGAUUCGGCAUUCGGAUGCCAUCGCCUUACGACCUUUACGUGGAUUCAUUCGAGGUAAAAGGACGUGAAGAGGCUCCGAGGGGAAGGUAGGCAAGACCAAGUAUAUGCCGUCGAGGACUCGACCAGGCCAGGACGCGGACUGUUAUCACGGACACGGAGAUCCAUAUCCUUGGGUCCUUUCAACAUUGUGAUCGAUGCCGUCCAACCGUUGCUAGCCGCGCCGCCCAAGUCCCUCGCCGGGAGGCCGCAUCCCCUGGGAUUCUACGGCCCGGCCGGAAUUGGGCGCGGGGCUUGUCAUGUGCGUGAACAAAAACAGCACCUAUGUUUCAUACUUACAAAUCACAAAACGUCCAAUGAUUUAACAACAAAGUACUUGCAGCAGCAAACUUACUAGAAUACCAAUUCUCAUCAUCUCAUCUCAACAUAUCAAAGAACACACGUAUGCCUCUCAUGCCAACUCAUCGGCACAAUCAACCACUUCACAUAUGGAUCAAUAGCAAGUAAGAUGGUGACUGAAUCAACACAUAUGGCAAGAAAAAUACCAAAUCAAUAGUAGACACCAAGAUUCAUGUGGAAACCCCUUGCGGGAAAAAACCACGAGCGGCGGCAAGCAAUCCACUAUAUGAAGAAGCAAUACAAGAGGUGGGAACCAACAAGGUGGGAAGCUCCAAAUCCCCCACGGAUUUCACUUUCUAUUGGAUGGAUUUGGUGGAUCUAAACCUCUCCUCUCCUUAACCCUAACUCUCGUCCAAGGUGGAAGAACGUAACAGAAUACUUUGUUCCUAUUCGAGUUGGGCUGCCCCUUAAAAUGGCAAACUUGUAAAGAGGCUCCAAAGUUGCAAAUUGUCACAACCAGCCCCAAUUUCAAUAUACAAUAUGUAUAGGCAAUGCUUGCCAUAACAAAUGAGCUAAUGGGCUUCCAAAUUGAUGAAAUUAGGAGCUGGACAUCAGGCACAGGGUUGGCAAAGCUUCGCGCGCGUGCACGCACGCCCAUUGGAUGGAAUUGGCACUUGGCAGAUCAGUGAACGUCCUGUUCGCUGCCGUACGUAGCUAGCUGUGUGACCGCGUCUGUGUGCACGGCGUGCAUGCAUGUGCAUGGCACGCAUCGGUUCAAUUAUUUGCACCGUCAAGUACUUGCAUUGGUUCUUUCUGCAUGCAGUAAAUCACUCAACGCCCAAGGCGAAAAAUGGCCCCUCGGCCGAGUUGGUCGUGUCAUUUUCUUCUUCUUUAGCACCAAGGGGACAGGGUGACGUGUUGCCUGAUCAUCAUCGACCCGGCGGUCGUUGCAACAUCGAUCAAAGCCUACGAAAAGGGUCCACUUUGCAUGCUACAAACGUUGACUGGGGGGCAAGGAGAGAAGAGGCAGGAAAGUACCCAGCUCAGAGCUUGACGCAUCUGAUUUAUUUUCAGUCGGUUGCGUAGCUUAUAUGUUCAUCGUAUAGAUUUCUGAAACAACAAGUAAUUUUCCAGAUAAGAAAUAAACGAGAACAUAUAAAUGCAUGAUAGAAUCUAUGGGACCAAGUAUUUUCUUAAGUGUUUGAAAACAAGAUAGAUUUCACCGUCAAUCUAUGUGAUAGUAGCGCGCGGAACAAUCACGACACGGGUGGAGUACGUAUACACUGGAAGGAUAGCCACAAGAUAUGGCAUGACAUACGCCAGGAGUAAUAGCAGGGAAAAUAAUCGUAAUAAGCAAAUCACCGUCUAAUACUAGUUUGUUUCUCUAGAUCAACAGCAACCACCAUAAUACGUAAGUAGCUGGUUGUUGAUCUUGAUCCAAGAUCCUAAGACGGUGAUCGAGCAAAUAAAUUGUUUUCAUGCACUUGAAAAAUAGCAAAAAUCAAAGGCCUACUACCAAUAUUGGUUGUGAACAAAACAAUCAGCGGAAACAAUACAUAGGAUGAUGGAUGCCGAGAUAUACGGAGGAAAUCAUCAACAUCUUUGCACACAGCUUAAUAUCUCAACUUCAUAUUAUUGAUGACAGUAGUCAACGCAUUGAGGAAACCGGGUAACAAAGGAGUAGCGCGCUACAACACCAAUUAACUAAUUAUUAGCGGUACAAAAGAAGAACACCAAGGUUUAUACCACAUAUCACACCACUUCGAUCAUAAACCCCUGGAUAUUGGUACAGAUACCCAAGAACACAAGGUUCAUCCCCCUAUCUUCAUCCACGUACCCGUCAUCAAGAUACACUACCACCCCCAGAUCAGACCAGAACAAUUGCCAAAGGAUACAAGUUGCCCUAC
rnacentral:lncRNA from 1 species